UGCUAGUGUUGCAUUAAGGUUUCCCUCCCAACGCUGUUGAUGUUCCAGGAGUAUUCCUCGUAGUUUUGGUGUAUUUAGAAGUCCGAAAGCGAAAAUCUUCAUCCGGGAGCAUCCAUUGACGGUAACAUUUUCUAAAGCUGGAAAAUUGAAAGCGUUAUUCCCUGAGCAAAAGCUGAUGAGAUGAGGCAGAUCAUCAAGUUCCAAAAAUUUCAGUUUGUCGAAAUUAAUAAUCUCAUCCUCUGUUUGAUCGUCUCCAUCGCUGGUCACUAUUUCUGUCAUCCUACUGCAAUCUCCUACUGUCAUUUUGGUGAGUUGCACCAUGGACUUGGCUGUAGACGCUGUUAUCAAGUUUGCCAAUCCUUCACAGUAAAUCACUUCAAGAGUUGCUAGAUUUUGGAAAGAUGAUGAGGAUGGUGCUAUGUUGAUCAAACUAUCACACCAAAAUACAGUCAAAGUCUCGAGAUACUGAAGAAGUGGUUUCGGUCCGGAGUCUGGGUCCCAUAUAUGCUUUAAAUUAUAAACGCUUUCUAGCUUCAAAUUUUUCACUCGUGCAAGUGUCCUGACAUGUUCUUCUUCUGCGGCAAGUCCUUCAUAUGAGAACAACUCUUCUGAAGUAUUAUGACCUUGUACCAAAAUUGUUUCCACAGAAUAUAAUCUUUCAAGGAAACCAAUUAUAAAAGGGUGUGAUUUGUUCUGUAAGUUGGUCAAAGUAAGCAUUUUGAGUUUAGAAAAGAAUUGUCCUUGCUGUAUCGCAAUCAAGUCUCUGUGCUCUAAAGUCAAUUCCUCCAAGUUGGGACUCAUCUAUGCACAACAAACAAGUAUAUUGUUAAACAAGUACAUCGUUAAACUAAUUACUGUAAGGUAAUGGUUAAUUAGGUAUUAAAUAUUUAAAAAGGUAAAUAAAUAAUAUAUAUAUAUUGCAUGACAUGUACACUAAUUUAAAAUUAAUUAAAAUUAUUUUAAAAGUUUAAUAUAUUAUAAAAAGAAUUAAAAAAUUUAGAUAUAAUAUUAGAAGUUUAAGCUAUAAUUGCAUUAAAUAUAAAAUUUUAGCUUUUGUUAUUUAAAAUUGAAAAUUUUGUUAUAAUUAUCAUUAAGCGUAAAGUUUAGCUUUUGAUAUCCAAUAAGCGGUUUGAAUAUAUUGUAUUAUUUAUAAUUUUUCUUAUAUUUUUUUAAAAGAGAAAAUUUAAUUUGAAAUAUUUGAGAAAAUUUGAGAAAAAAAAUUCAAUUAAUAUAUUAUGAAGGAAAUAAGGAAAGGAUCUUACCUUUUUCAAGAAAAGUAGGGGUUGUCUGCCCUCUUCCUGUAUUUCUUGGGAACUGGAUUUUAUUAAUUUGGGACAAUUAUGAACAUGCAAACUUGUCAGUUUAUGACAUUCAAAAAUGUGUGUCUCUGGAAACACAUAGUUUAGAACAUUGCAAUAUGAAACUCUGACUGAUUUCAAAUUUUGAAAAUUGAAAACUCCUUGUGGAUCAUUCCUCCAUACAUGCUUCAACGAACUCAGUAGAACUAUAUUUAAUCUUCUCAACUCAAAUGCUUCAUCAACAUUGAACCCUUCAAGUUGAUAUAUCUCUAGUAAUGAAGCACAUUUUAUCACAUUCAACUCCUCCAUUCUUCGGAAUCUUUCUAAGACAUUUGAUGGAAAAACAACCAUCAAUUUCUGGCAAAAAUAAAUAUCCAACGAUUUCAGUUUAAAGAAGGAAUUUGUCACAAGUGGACUGUGCCAUAUUUUUUUCAACUCAUUUAUGCUUGAGAGACUCAAUCUCUCCAAGUUAGGGAAACAAACCUGCAAUGCCAAACACAUUGAUUUAGUAAAUGCGAGAACUUCAAUAUAAGCAUAAGUUAGAUAAAUAUAAAACAAAAAUAUAAUCGUUGGAGGUGAUGUGAAGUGGAGAUGUAAUACCCGGCUAGAGUCCGGCAUCGGAAUUCCUGUAGUCCGGUGGAAUCUCGGGUGUCGGAAGUAUCUAGACGGGUAAUACAUGUGUUUUUAAGAUGUUUUAAGUGUUUUUAAUGUUUUAAAAGGGUUUAAGAACUAAGGUUUUGAAAGAAAAGCUUUUUGGGAGAAAUGGCAAGUUCGGCCGCCGAAGGUGACUUUCGGCCGCCGAACCUUGCAUGGAUUCGGCUUCACGUUUGGCCGCCGAAGGAGGUCUGGCCAGCCCCCUUUAAAUGGUCAAGGGUCGGUGAUUUUGGAUAAGUUUUCCAUUUUCUCCACCUGAGGUGAGGCUUUGAGUCUCCUUGGGAGAUUUUCAUGUUCUUCCAUAAAUCUUUCAAAGUUUUAAAGAGUUUAUGUUUGUUUUUGAAGGUUUUGAGCAAAAAGAGUAAAGUUUGGAAGUUUGAAGGUUUGGAAGCUUGAAUCUUCAUAACUCCACGUUAGGAUCGUCUGAUCUCUUGUUUGGAAGAGGUAAGUGAAGAUCCUGAACCUCCUUUGUUGAGUUUUAAAGGUUUUAUGAAGUUUGUAUGGGUAGUUGUAUCUAGGAUGUAUGCAUUAGAGAUCACAAAGAUGCUGCAUUUAUUUGAUUUGUGACAUGAAGGAAUGGACAUUGCACAGAUUCGAUAACCCUGUAGUUGUAUGUACUGAAGUCCCGCGAGCCUUAGGGCCGGGCAUAAGGAUGUGUGUACUGAAGUCCCGCGAGCCUUCGGGCCGGGCAAAGCUUGCAUGAUACUGAAGUCCCGCGAGCCUUCGGGCCGGGCAAAGCUUGCAUGAUAGGGUUUUUCGAUUCUGUCCGUUCCAUGCAGUGAUUACCUGAGAGAUGAUGCAUUCCAUGAGAGCAUGUUUUAUUCUCCACUCACUGGGCUAGUUGAGCUCACCCCUCUCCCCUCAUCCCAGUUUUGCAGGUGUUAGUCCUCAGAGUACAGAGCGAGGUUAGCCGAGUGUAGAAGGAUUGAAGGAUAUGUAAUAGCUAGUGUGGACAUGAAGUGUUAUGAUAUAGAUUGUAAUGUACAGUGUAUAGAGUGUGCUUGACUAGUUGAUGUUGCCCUUGUGUAUGCAUGAUCACUUUAUGAAAAUGUUUUAUGAGUUGUAUGUAAUGAAACCAGGCUUAACAGUUUAUGAUCAGUAGAGAAAGAGAGUAUGCACAGGUUAAGCCGUGGACAAAAGAAAGUUUUCAAUUUUUUUUCAGAAAAUGUAUGAUCAUGUAUGAGUUUUCACAGGUACACAGAGUUCACAGCAGGCUUACUACGGGUCCCGGCGGCCUUAAGCCGAUCUGGAUCCUAGUGCCGGUAAUGGUUCGGUUUUCGGGCUGUUACAGGAGACCUAUCGAAUUAAGGUCUUUUAGCCAACAGAGGGAUUAGGCCUACCUAUUAAUGAAUGGCAUUUGACUAUAGGAUGUCCAAAUAUGUAUGCAUUUAUGCAUGCAUAAAGAGAGAAGGGUAAAAUUAAUCACCAUUCCAUUGAAGAGAGAUUGAAUUUCAGCAUUCUGAUUUUGAUUCUGAUUCUGAUUCAUCUCUGUAUCAUCUUGUUUUUCCAUCAUGUCUGUAUGAGGGACACUAGGGACCAAGCACAUCAAUGCAUCGCAACCGUUUAUAGUCAAGUCUCUAAGAGAUUGAAAUUCAAUUUGAUAUCCACUGCAGAAUCUAAUCAACUUUGGAAGAUCACUAAGUGUCAGCUCAUCCAAUUUAGGGAAGAGUAUCUGAUUCAUCCUCUCAUCUUCCUCUUCUAUAAAUUGCUCUGUUAGUAUUAUCUCUUCCAUUGAAGUACAAUUAAAAAUUUUAAGUGUUUUGAGCUGCAAGAGCCUUUUAACGAUUGAAGUUGUAAAUAAAUUCUUCAACUCCUUGCAACCAUUCACAAUCAAGGUCUCUAAUUUUGAAGAAGUUGCAGAAAGUUGUUCGUGCCAUAUCUUUUCACAACUAACUGAAUAUAAUUCAAGAUUCUCNNNNNNNNNNNNNNNNNNNNNNNNNNNNNNNNNNNNNNNNNNNNNNNNNNNNNNNNNNNNNNNNNNNNNNNNNNNNNNNNNNNNNNNNNNNNNNNNNNNNNNNNNNNNNNNNNNNNNNNNNNNNNNNNNNNNNNNNNNNNNNNNNNNNNNNNNNNNNNNNNNNNNNNNNNNNNNNNNNNNNNNNNNNNNNNNNNNNNNNNNNNNNNNNNNNNNNNNNNNNNNNNNNNNNNNNNNNNNNNNNNNNNNNNNNNNNNNNNNNNNNNNNNNNNNNNNNNNNNNNNNNNNNNNNNNNNNNNNNNNNNNNNNNNNNNNNNNNNNNNNNNNNNNNNNNNNNNNNNNNNNNNNNNNNNNNNNNNNNNNNNNNNNNNNNNNNNNNNNNNNNNNNNNNNNNNNNNNNNNNNNNNNNNNNNNNNNNNNNNNNNNNNNNNNNNNNNNNNNNNNNNNNNNNNNNNNNNNNNNNNNNNNNNNNNNNNNNNNNNNNNNNNNNNNNNNNNNNNNNNNNNNNNNNNNNNNNNNNNNNNNNNNNNNNNNNNNNNNNNNNNNNNNNNNNNNNNNNNNNNNNNNNNNNNNNNNNNNNNNNNNNNNNNNNNNNNNNNNNNNNNNNNNNNNNNNNNNNNNNNNNNNNNNNNNNNNNNNNNNNNNNNNNNNNNNNNNNNNNNNNNNNNNNNNNNNNNNNNNNNNNNNNNNNNNNNNNNNNNNNNNNNNNNNNNNNNNNNNNNNNNNNNNNNNNNNNNNNNNNNNNNNNNNNNNNNNNNNNNNNNNNNNNNNNNNNNNNNNNNNNNNNNNNNNNNNNNNNNNNNNNNNNNNNNNNNNNNNNNNNNNNNNNNNNNNNNNNNNNNNNNNNNNNNNNNNNNNNNNNNNNNNNNNNNNNNNNNNNNNNNNNNNNNNNNNNNNNNNNNNNNNNNNNNNNNNNNNNNNNNNNNNNNNNNNNNNNNNNNNNNNNNNNNNNNNNNNNNNNNNNNNNNNNNNNNNNNNNNNUUAAUAGUAACUAUUAAUAUUUAAUACAUUUAUAAUUAAUAUUUAAAUUUUAUUAUAUUAUUUUAUUAAUUUAAAAAAUUAUAUUUUUAAUGGUAAAAAAUUAUAUAAAAUUUAAAAUAUUAUAAAAAUAUUAAUAAUAUUUUUUUAAUGAAUGUAAUAAAAAUAAUUAUCAUUUAUAAGAAUAAAUAUUUAUGUUUUGUUUAAAAAUAAUAAGAAUGAUGAAUAAAUAAAUCAAUUUAAAUUUAUUAUUAAUUUAUCUAAUAUAAAAUGAGUUUUAUUAUAUUUAAAUUGAUUUUAAAUAAAUGAAUUUAUUUAUGAAUAGAAAUAAAUUGAAAUCCAUUAAUAAAAUUUAAUUCUAUUCUGAUAAGGAUUGCAUACCAAACAAAGAUUUAGUAUUUUUAAUGAAUGAUUCAAAUUUUAAAAUGAUCAAAUUAUUGUAAGAAAAUAUGUUAAAAGGAGUAAUAAUGUAAAGAUAUAAUUUUUAAAUACGAAAUUAUCACAAUUAAUUCAUAUUUAUUGUUUGAUCGGUUUAUUCAUAUAAUAUACUCAUAAAAUAAACUAAAUAUGAAUACUAAAAAAUUAUAAAAAUUGUAUUAUGUUGAUUAUGUUCUAAAUUUUCAUAAAUAAUAAAAUUAUAUUUAAUAAUAAAAAUUAAAAUAUCUUUUUGAUUUUAAGAAAUUUAAAGCACAAUUUGAAUCAACAAAAUAUACAAUAACCGAUAAUAAUGAAAUAUAAUCAUUUAUAUAAAUUUUUUCGAUAAAUUAUUAAUGAUAAUGAGUAAUAAUAGUUAUUUAAAAAUUUGAGCAUUCAAUAAUUAAUAUUAAAUAUUCAAUACACAUUCAAUAAAUAAAAAAUUGAUACAAAUUUAUAUUAAAAAGUUAAUAUAGGCAUACCGUUUUGCUGAAAAGUAAUGAGUGAGUAUCACUCUCCACUUUUGAUAAAAAUUUCUCAACUUUUGACAAAAAUUUCUCAAUUUUUGGUGGCGCCUUUAUUUUGCUGUGAAAUGUCCUAAAAUUUGGAAGAUCUCGCAAAUUCAAAAAGAGCAAGCGAUUGAACUCAAGCACUUCGUUACUGUUUUCACUUUCAUCAAUAACAAUAGCUUCCAUCUUAGGACAAUCUUCCACUUCUAUUUCCUGCAAUUGCAAAAGACACUUGGCAGCAGAUAAUGAAAAAAGAUGCGUCAAUUUCUGGCAAUUUCUUACUUGCAAAAUUUUUAAUUUAUUAAAAGAUCUUACUGUGAGUCGACCAUGAUAGAUUUUCUCCAAUUUCAUUAAAUUUUCCAAAAUCAAUGACUCUAGAAUUGGAAAGGCAUCACAUACGGCCCACUUCGUCGAAUUGAUGAUAUGUUGAAUGGCAUAAUUAUUUUGGACUCGGAGAUGCUUCAAUUUUGGAAAGCCGUCCCCGUCAAUAUCAUACAACAAGUUCUCAGCCUCCCUCACUUCAUCUAAGCAUAAAUCUUCAGUCUCCCUCAAUAGCACUUUAAUGCCGUAUCCUGAAUGAAUGCUUGCCUUGAGCUUAAGUUUCAGCGUUCUAGAGGUUUUGUAGUUGUCAUCCCAGUCCCAGUUAUCCCCUAUCAGUAUUCUAAAGCUCUGCAAGCGGCCAUUGGAGAACAAGUGUUUUGGUAAUAUCUUGUCAUCCGGUAUUUGCAUUUCCAAGGUAGUCAACUGAGACAACUUUUCCAACUCAGCAAGGCUUGCAUUGUUCCCAUCGGCCUCCCACUCAACAAAACUGUUACUCAUGUAUAGUUCUUCAAGCUCCGACAGCUUUGAUAAGGCAUUUGCUGGAAUCAUUUUGAGUUUGGAACAAUUGCUCACAUCUAAGACUUUUAGUCGAGCCAGUUGCUCUAUUUGUCUGGGCAACUCAACAACGUAGGAGUUUGCAAAACUAAGAACUCGUAGUUGCUUCAAGUCUCCAAUGAUAGCUAAGUCCUCCAGUUGGCACCGAUGCAAGCAAAGGGUAUGAAGGUUGGAUAGGAAAGCGAGCGAUGAAGGGAGGGACACAAAAUGGAUCCCAGUAAAAUCCACUACUUCCAGGUUUCUAAUGCCCUUGAAAAACUGAUGUGGGAUUCCCAAACAAAAAACUUUUGUGACAAGGAAUAGUGCCUCUGCUUUUGGGCACUCCCAUCCUUCGGAGAGAUUUUCAAUAUCACAAUACUGCAGAGAAAUUCUGGUGCAAUCCUUAUUUGGGAAUUUCAUCAACUCCCUGCCACUUGUAAUUAUAAACGCAUGUUGCUCUCUAGAUGCAAUCAAGAGAGCAGUAUCUCGAACAACAUCAUGGAUUUUUACGAAUCCAUACAUGUCGCCAUCUAGCAAUAAGCUCUGCGCUUUAAGGGUAUCAAUCAGAUCACGUAGUUUGUUUCUUGCUUCUUCCACAGUAGAAAUGUUCUUGAAUAAACUAAGACCCAUGAUGUAUUUCAGCAAGGACUGGAUUUGAAUAUUAGAUUGUCCUAUCAGGCCACAAAGCAAGAAAAGCGACUUGACUUCAUUGCCACACAAAUUGUAGUAGCUUGACUCCAGAACCGCGUGUACUUUUGAAUUUAUUUCUGCAUUGUCAAACUCAGAUAAUUGCUUCAGCUUAUUACUCCAUGCGUAUGCCUCUCUAUUUCUCAAGUCUGUCGCCAUUAUGAGCAAUAGAAGAGGCAAUCCUGCACAUUUUUUAGCAACUUCUGCGGCGAUAGGAGGCAAUUUUGAAUUUUUAGCAGAUGAGACAGUCAUUUCAAACAAACUCCAAGCCUCUUCGUCCUGUAGAACGUCGAGUCUGAAUUCUUUCUGUGUGCCCAUCUCACGAGAUAACACAUCUUGGUUCCUUGAGGUGAGAAACAUUUUGCAUCCUUUGAAAUCAUCUCCAAAGGGAAUUCCCACUGCAUUUAAAUCAAGUUGUUUCCAAAUAUCAUCAAGAAUUAUAAGUACCUUCUUCUUCUCUUUCUCCAACUCUUUCUUCUCUUUCUCCAACUCUUUCUUCAACCUCUCAUAUAGCCGAUUAGCUCUUCCAGGUAUUUCCUCCCCCUCAAAUUUCAAGCCCAGGAUAUCACCGACCUCCGAUUGAAUUCUUCGGAGUUCUGGUGUUUGACCUACAGCAACAAUAGCGACGACGUCGAAUAGCUUCUCUUCCAGAGCUUUUCUGUGGACCUGUUUUGCUAGGGUGGUCUUACCCACACCUCCAAGUCCAUACAACCCGAUCAUAGUAAGAUCUGGAUCUAAUAGUGCAUCCAUAACUUUCUCCAAGAACAACUCUCUUGAAUUCAAGCCCUCACGAGCAUAUACUGACGGGGCAACUAUCUGCUGUAGAGGGGGACGGAAGGAAAUUGGAUCAUGGUCGUCUUCACUCGCAAGGUCACGAAUUGCCAUAGCUUUCUUCUCUGCUUUCUUGCUAAGCUGAUAGCGUAUCUUCAAAUCAGGACAUAAUCCAACGAAACACCUCUUUUUCGCUUGUUCUUCGCCUUUGAUACAUUCCUCAGCUUCUUCAAUAGCUUUGCCUGCAUCGUUCAGCCACUUGUUGACACUUUCAUAGAUCUCUUCCCCUUUCCUUGUAGCCUCCUCAACGGAUUGCUGCAACUUGACUGUUCUGUUCUUCAAUUUCUCAGCCUCACUCUGGAGAAUCUCAACCUUGCUCUUGUAGGUGAAAGGAUAACUGACAUGCUGUUUGAUUGGCGCAAGGACAAAUUGCAUGAUGGAUUCUUUGAAGACAUCUGAGAAAAUGGAGACAAAGAUACCGGGAACCAUUUUGAUUUUUUAUUUUUAAUUUUUUCCCUGAAAUAUCAGAAGGGAAGAAAAAUUGAACAAGAAAUAAAGAUGACAGCAACAAAGGAUUGGUGAGCUGAAAAGGAAACAGAGUUGCAGAGAAUGAACAGAGAUGGAAGGAUACAGAGAGCGAGUGAGUCUGGCAAGUGCAUCUCUUUCUUGGUUAUAUAAUAAAUUUUUGUCAACUUUUAAGCAUUUUAAUGAUGUUGAAAAAUGAGAGUUGACAACUUGACAUGUGACUAUGCUUCAACACCGAGAAACGGGAAGGAAGUGGAAGAAGAUGACAGCCUGGAGGAAAGAGGUUGUGGUUCUGGCAAAUUAGAAAAGUUCUACUAGUAAAAAAAAAUAUUUAAUCUAUGUAAUAUAAAAAUGUAUGAAAAAUAAAUUUAAUUAAAAUUUUGUAUUUUUUAAGAGUUAAAUAAGUCAAUUUUUUUCAAAUAAACUUAUAAAAUUCAUCAUUAAAAUAAAAUAAUUUUUUUUUAUCUAAUAAAAUGUUGUUUAAUAAUAAAAUUCUAUUUUUAUAAUUUAAAACAUUAUUUAUCAUUAUUUAUGUAUAUAAAAAAAUUUUAUUUCAAACUAAAAAUAUUUUAUUAUUAAAAAAUAAUAUUAUAUUCGAUAAAAUUUAUUUAGUUUUAGAGCUAAAAUUUAACCAUAUAUUUAGUAAAAAAAUUGAAUAAAUAUAAGAGUUUAUCAAGAGCCAGCCAUGAGUUUUCAAUUAAGCUAAGUGAAAUUUAAUAUUGAAUGGCAAUUAGCUAAGUGAAAUUUGAUAUUUAAUUGUUGUGAUAGUGAAGGAAAGCAAAUUUUUUUAUAAAUUAGGGAUUUUAAUUCAUCUGCUUGUUGAUUAGUAGAAUUUAUUUUAUAGGAAAAAAAUUUUAAAAAAAUUAUAAAAUUAUGCAAGAAUUUAAUUUUUUUUAAUAUAUAUUUUUUUAAUUUAUUUAUUUAAAAUUAAAUUUUUUUAAUUGAAUUUUUAUAAAAUUUUUAAUUUUAAAUGAAGAGUUAAAAUUUUAAAUUUGGGUGUCUUAAAAAAAUUUUCAAUUUGGGUUAUGAGAUUUUAAAUAAGACUUAAUUGUGGUUUAAUAGUAAUUAAUGUCAAAAUUGUUAUUUAAUUGUUUAAGAUCUAAAGGUUAAAAUAUAAAUAUAAUUUUUUUAAAAAAUUUGAAUUAUUUUACUUAAUAAAUAAAAAAUAAAAUUAAUUAAAAAGUUUUUUAAAAAAGUCAUUAGGAUCAAUUUUGGUCAAAUUUGAUUUUAAGUCUUAAAUAAAAUCAUAACUAGUCUCAAAGUUAUAUUUUAAUUAUCUAAGAUUAAAGGUUGAAAUAUAAAUAUGAAUUUGCCCUAAAGUUUUAGAUCAUCUUAAUUAAUAGAUUUUUUAUUUUAUUAAUAAAUAAAUUGAUUCUAAUUUUUUAUUUUUUAUUAAUAAAUAUUUAUAAGAAUAAAUUAUAUUUUAAUUUUUAAAUUUUAAUAUAAUUAAUAAAUUAAUUUUUAUAUUUCAUUUUAUAAUUUCUCUAUUAAAAUUAGAGCUCUUUCUAUUUAUAAUUUUAUUAGUUAAUGGGUCAGAUGGAGAUUAAAUAUUUAAAAUAUUUAAAAUAUCUUAUAAAUAUUUAAAUUCCGUAAAAAAUUUUAUUUUGUAUAAAAUUUUUAGUUUUAACUUAAUUGACAUAUUUCUAAAUUUUAGUAUAAUUGAUGGAUAAUUUUUAUAUUUUUAAAAUUAAAUUUUCAAAUUUUUCUAUAUUUAAUCAUUUAAAAAUAUAAUUUUUUUCAUUCAUUAUAAAUAUUAAUUCAAAAUUAGUGGAUGAUUAAACUAUUUCUGAAAAUAUAAUUUAUUUUUAAAAGAUUUUUAUAAAAGUUUAUGAUUUAUUUAAAAAUUAUUUGGUAUCAUUCAAAAAUAAAUGAAACUAUAAGUAUUUUUUAAAAGUUUUGAAAUUAUAAAUAUUGAAAUAUUUUAAUAAAUAAAAUUAAAAAUUAAAAAAUAUAAAAAAUUAAUUAAAUUAAAUAUUAUAAAUAAAAAUUAAUAAAAAUUUAAAUGUUAUUUUAAAUAAAAAAUAAAAAAUUUAAAUAUUUAAAUUAUAAUAAAUCGAUUAUAUAGAAAUUUAAAUUUAUAAUUUUAAAAAUAUAAAAAUUAAUAUAUUAAUUAUAUUAAAAUUAAUUAUUCAAAUAUAAUUUAUUUAUUUAAAAAAUAAUAAAAAUAUUUUUAUAAUUUUAAUAAUAAAAAUAAAUAAAUAAUUCUGAUUUAACAGAAAAUUUUAAAUAUUUAAUUUAAAAAAUAUAAAAAUUAAUCUAUUAAUUAUAUUAAAAAUAAUAAUAUUUUAUUUUUAUUAACAAAUAUUAAUAAAUUUUUGUCAUUAAUAAAUUUUGGAUAAACUGUAAUUUAAUCCCUCUAAUUUAGUGAAAUGUAACCUUUUAUCCCUCUGUUUUAAAAAAUCUUCAAUUUAGUCACUGUGAUUUUUAAAAACUAUGACAUUAGUCCCUCCCGUCAGAUUUUCAGUUAAAUCACCGUUAAUUUUAGUUAAAAAGACUAAAAUACUCAUUCUCUCUCCUUCCUCUUCCUCCUCCUCUUCUUCUUUUUCUUCUCCUUUCCGAUCUCCUUCUUCUUCUUCUCCUCUUUUCGGAUCUCCUUCUUCCUCUUCUUCCUCUUCUUCUCCUUCCUAAUGUUACGACUUGGUGCGCGCAGGGGUAAUUAGAAAGAAAGUUGGACCCAUUUACUAAAAAGAGUGGAAAUCUAACAAGAGUGUUUGGUCAGGAGCCAUAGCGCCAACAGCUGGAAUAUUGUGAAUUGUGAUGGACUGAUAGUCAACAUAAACAGUCCCCCGUAUAAAUUUGCCAAAUUCUUCACCAGUCCACCCUCAUUAUCACUCUUCAUUCUCUCUAAUCUCUGUUUGAAUCCAUGUCAGAUCUUAAGUCAACUUUCUUGAAUGUCUACUCUGUUCUCAAGUAGGAGCUCCUUGAGGACCCGGCUUUCGAAUGAACACCAGAUUCCCAUCAAUGGGUCGAGCGGGUACUUCCCACUCCCUCUGCAUUCGUUUUUUACAACUCAUUGUUUAUUGGAGCUAUUUUUGUUCAAGUGAUUCGAUUUUUCUUGUUUUGUUUGAUUUGGUUUCUGGGUUGUGAUUAAAUCUCGAUUUUUGUUGAUAUGGAAAAUACUGCUUUUCUUUACGUUUCACUUUCAUAUCGGAAAAGAGAAGAAGAAGAAGAAGAAAAAGAAGAAGAAGAAGAAGAAGAAGAAGGUUUCUGGUUGUGAUUGAAUCUCGAUUUUUGUUGAUAUGGGAAAUGCUGCUUUUCUUUACGUUUCACUUUCAUAUCGGAAAAGAGAAGAAGAAGAAGAAGAAGAGGAAGAAGAAGGAGAUCGGAAAAGAGAAGAAGAAAAAGAUCGGAAAGGAGAAGAAGAAGAAGAGGAGGAGGAGGAAGAGGAAGGAGAGAGAAUGGGUAUUUUAGUCUUUUUAACUAAAAUUAAUGGUGAUUUAACUGAAAAUCUAACGAGAGAGACUAAUGUCAUAGUUUUUAAAAAUUACAGUGACUAAAUUGAAGAUUUUUUAAAACAAAUGGACAAAAGGUUGUAUUUUACUAAAUUAGAUGGACUAAAUUAUAAUUUAUCCAUAAAUUUUUGCUGAAAAACGAGAGUUGACAACUUCACAUGUGAUGAUGCUUCGACACCAAAAAGCGGGAAGGAAGCGGAAGAAGAUGACAGCCUAGAGGAAAGAGGUUGGUGGUUUUGGCAAUAAAAAAGGUUCUACUAGGAAAAAAAAAUAUUUAAUCUACGUAAUAUAAAAAUUUAUGAAAAAUAAAUUUAAUUAAAAUUUUGUAUUUUUUAAGAGUUAAAUAAGUCAAACUUUUUCAACUAUAUUUAGUAAAAAAAUUGAAUAAAGUUAUUUAGCUUCUUAAUUAAAUGAGUUUAAUUGACUUAUUUAUAAAAUUUUAUUAAAUAAUUAAAUAUUAGAGAAAAAAACUAAAAUAUUUUUAAUUAUUUUAUUAAAUUUAAAUCAGGGAUUUUAAUUCAUCUGCUUUUUUAUUAGUAGAAUUUAUUUUAUAAGAAAAAAUUUUAAAUAAUCAUAAAAUUAUACAAUAAUUUAAUUUUUUUUUGUAUAAUAAUUUAUUUUUUUUUAAAUAUCUUUUUUAAAAUUAAAAUUUUAUUUUAAAUGAAGAGUUAAAAAUUUCAAUUUGGGUUAUAAGAUUUUAAAUAAGACUUAAUUGUGGUUUAAUAGUAAUUAAUAUCAAAAUUGAUAUUUAAUUGUUCAAGGUCUAAAGAUUAAAAUAUAAAUACAAUUUUUAAAAAAAUUUGAAUUGUUUUACUCAAUAAAUAAAAAAUAUAAUUAAUUAAAAAUUUUUAAAAAAGUCAUUAGAAUAGCCGAAUUCAGUUUUGUUCAAAUUUAAUUUUAAGCCUUAAAUAAAAUCAUAACUAGUCUCAAUAAUUUUAGACCCAACCUAGUUAACCAGAAAAAGAAACUUUCAAUUUGAUUUAUUUAUUUACAUUAAAUUGAUGAGAUUUUACUGACAUCAUGUAUUUCUAUUUGAAUAUUUGCCAACCAUAUAAUUUUAAAAUAAAAAUUAUUAAUUUUUAAUUUAAUUAAAUUAAAAAUAUAAAUUUUUAUUUGCUAGAUGAUCAGUAAUUUUUUAUUUAAUUAGAAUAAUAAAAAAAUAACAUUAUUUGCUUGUAUAUUUUUUAAUUUUAUAUUAUAAUUUAUGCAAAGAAUGAACAGAGAUGGAAGGAUACAGAGAGCAUUUGAAUGAUAUUGAAAAACGAGAGUUGACAACUUGACAUGUGAUGAUGCUUGGACACCGAGAAGCGGGAAGGAAGUGGAAGAAGAUGACAGCCUAGAGGGAAGAGGUUCUGGUUCUGGCAAUUAGAAAAAUUCUACUAGGAAAAAAAAAAUAUUUAAUCUAUGUAAUAUAAAAAUUUAUGAAAAAAUAAAUUUAAUUAAAAUUUAGUAUUUUUUAAGAGUUAAAUAAGUAAACUUUUUUCAAAUAAACUUAUAAAAUUCACCAUUAAAAUAAAAUAAUUUUUUAUCUAAUAAAAUGUUUUUUAAUAAUAAAAUUCUAUUUUUAUAAUUUAAAAAAUUAUUUAUCAUUAUUUAUGUAUAUAAAAAAAAUUUUAUUUCAAAUUAAAAAAUACUUUAUUAUUAAAAAAAUAAUAUUAUAAAAUAAAAUUAUAUAUUCCUUUGUGUAAAUUGAAUAAAAUAAUGCAAACCUUUUAAUACUUUCAUAUUUAUAUAUAAUGUUUUAAUUUUGGAUAAUCUUAAACCAUAAUUUUGAAAUUAGUCACAUUUAUGCAAGAGCUAAAAUCAAUUUGAUCACUUGUUAUCCCACAUUCCUACUUGACAUUUUUUUAAUUUUUUACUUAUUAAAAAAAAUAAUCUAACUAUUUUUUAAUUUAUAUUUAUAUUUCAAUAUUUUUAGUAUAUUAAAUAAAAUAAUUUAAAUAUUUUAUAAAUUUACAUUUAUAUCAUAACUUUUCAAUUUUGGAUAGAGCAAAUAAGUGCAUUAAAACACCUAGAAUAUUAACUACCACAUUUUUAAAUAGGCAGUUAUAAAAAAAAUAAAAUUAAUCAAUAAUUUUUUUUGCCACUCUAAUUAUAAGGAAGAUGUUAGAAUCAAAAUAAAAAAAUAUAAAAGAAAAUAGAAAUAACGAACAAGAGAGACCUGUUUGGGGAAUAAGAAAAUUUUAAAAGAGAGGGAAAAUAUUAGAGCUUAUCAAGAGUCAGCCUUGAGUUUUCAAUUAAGGCAAGUGAAAUUUGAUAUUUGAUUGUUGUGAUAGGGAAGGAAAGCAAAUUUUUUUAUAAAUUAGGGAUUUUAAUUCAUCCGCUUUUUGAUUAGUAGAAUUUAAAAAUUAUAAAAUUAUAGAAGAAUUUAAUUUUUUUUAAAAAUAUAGCUUUUUUUAAUUAAAUUUUUGUAAAAUUUUUAAUUUUAAAUGAAGAGUUAAAAUUUUCAAUUUGGGUUAUAAGAUUUUAAAUAAGACUUAAUUGUGGUUUAAUAGUAAUUAAUGUUAAAAUUGUUAUUUAAUUGUUCAAGAUCUAAAGAUUAAAAUAUAAAUAUAAUUUUUUAAAAAAAUUUGAAUUAUUUUACUCAAUAAAUAAAAAAUAUAAUUAAUUAAAAAUUUUUAAAAAAGUCAUUAAGAUAGCAUGUGCGGAAUUCAGUUUUGGUCAAAUUUGAUUUUAAGUUUUAAAGAAAGUCAUAACUAGUCUCAAAGUUGUAUUUUAAUUUUAUAAGAUUAAAAGUUGAAAUAUAAACAUGAAUUUGCCAUAAAAUUUUAGAUCAUCUUAAUUAAUAGAUUUUUUUUUAUUUUUUAUAAAUAAAUUGAUUCUAAUUUUUUAUUUUUUAUUAAUAAAUAUUAAUAAGAAUUUAUAUUUUAAUUUUUGAGUUUUAAUAUAAUUAAUAAAUUAAUUCUUAUAUUUCGCUAUAUAAUUAAUCUCUUAAAAUUAGAAUUUUUUUUAUUUAUAAUUCCAUUAAUUAAUUGGUGUAAAUGGAGAAUAAAUAUUUCAAAUAUCUAAAAUACUCCAUAAACACUUAAAUAAUUUCUAAACGUGUAAAAAAUUUUAUUUUAUAUAAACUACACUUUUAUCCCUAAAUUUUAGCGUAAUUGACGGAUAAUUUUUAUAUUUUUAAAAUUAAAUUUUUAAAUUUUUUUAUAUUUAAUACAUUUAAAAAUACAGUUUUUUUUUAUUUAUUAUAGAUAUUAAUCCAAAAUUAGUGGAUGAUUAAACUAUUUCUGAAAGCACAAUUUAUUUUUAAAAUAUUUAAUCUAUGUAAUAUAAAAAUUUAUGAAAAAUAAAUUUAAUUAAAAUUUAGUAUUUUUUAAGAGUUAAAUAAGUCAAAUUUUUUCAAAUAUAUUUAGUAAAAAAUUUGAAUAAAGUUGUUUAGCUUCUUAAUUAAAUGAGUUUAAUUGGCUUAUUUAUAAAAUUUUAUUAAAUAAUUAAAUAUUAGAGAAAAAAUUAAAAUAUUUUCAAUUAUUUUAUUAAAUUUAAAUUAUGUCUAAUUUAUGAAUUUAAUACAUCGUAUUUAUAAGAUAUUCAACAUGAAAAAAUUAUCUAUAACUCAUAUAAAAGAUAAAUUAUUCCUUUCUUUUCAUAAUCAAAAUAAAAUUCAACGCAUUUAAUAAAGAUAAUAAUUUUGAUGAAUACCUUUUAAUAUUAAGUACAACAAACAUUGAAAACAUAAAAUUAAUUAAUAAUUUUUUUUAAAAUAUUAUAAUAUAUUUUUUAAAAUUAAAAAUAAUUAAUAAGUUUUUUCCUACACAUUAAAUAAUAAUAUUUAAAAAAGUGUUGGGUCAAAUUAUAAAACUGAAUUAUAUAAUUUUUUUAUGUGAAGUAAAUAAAAUAAUCCAAACCUUUUAAUACAUUCAUAUUUAUAUAUAAUAUUUUAAUUUUGAAUAAUCUUAAACCACAAAUUUGAAAUUAGUCACAUUUAUAUAAGAGCUAAAAUCAAUUUGAUAACUUGCUAUCCUACAUUCCUACUUGACAAUUUUUCAAUUUUUUUAAUUUUUAAUUUUUAAUUUAUUAAAAUAAUAAUCUAACUAUUUUUUUAAUUUAUAUUUAUAUUUUAAUAUUUUUAAUAUAUUAAAUAAAAUAAUUUAAAUGUUUUAUAAAUACACAUUUAUAUCACAAUUUUUUAAUUUAGGGCAAAUAAAUGCGCUAAGACACCUGAAAUAUUAACUACUACACUCUUAAAUAAAAUAUUUACAAAAAGAAAAAUAAUUAAAUUAGUCGAUAAUUUUUUUUAUCACUCUAAUUAUGAGAGAUGUUAGAAUUAAAAUGGAAAAAAGUAUAGAAGAAAAAAGAAAUAACGAAUGAGAGACUUGUUUGGAAAAUAAAAAAAUUAAGAAAAAAAAAGAGUGAAAAUAUUAGAGCUUAUCAAGAACCAGCCAUGACUUUUUAAUUAAGCCAAGUGAAAUUUGAUAUUUGAUUGUUGUGAUAGUGAAUGAAGCAAAUUUUUAUAAAUAAGGGAUUUUAAUUCAUCUGCUUUUUGAUUCAUAGAAUUUUUUUUAUAAGAAUUUUUUUUUAAAAAGUUAUAAAAUUAUACAAAAAUUUAUAAUUAAAAAAUACAUUUUUUUAAUUGAAUUUUUAUAAAAUCUUUAAUUUUAAAUGAAGAGUUAAAAAUUUCAAUUUGGGUUAUGAGAUUUUAAAUAAGACUUAAUUGUGGUUUAAUAGUGUUUAAUGUCAAAAUUGUUAUUUAAUUGUUUAGGACCUAAAUUGUCAACGGGUUCUUCGAGCACGUUGAAAAUAUUUUUUAAAAAAAUUUGAAUUAUUUUACUCAAUAAAUAAAAAAAUAUAAUUAAUUAAAAAUUUUAGAAAAAAAGUUAUUAGGAUAAUAUGUGCAGAAUUCAGUUUUGGUCAAAUUUAAUUUUAAGUCUUAAAUAAAAUCAUAACUAGUGUCAAAAGUUGUAUUUUAAUUUUCUAAGAUUGAAGGUUGAAAUACAAAUAUGAAUUUACCCUUAAGUUUUAGACCAUCUUAAUUAAUUAUUUAUUUUAAUUUUAUUAAUAAAUAUUAAUAAAUAAAUUAUUUUUUAUUAAUAAAUAUUAAUAAGAAUAAAUUAUAUUUUAAUUUUUAGAUUUUAACAUAAUUAAUAAAUUAAUUCUGUAUUUCUAAAAUAAAAUACUUAAAUCUGUAUAUAACUAAUCUAUUUAAAUUAUAAUUUUUUUAUUUAUAAUUCUAUUAAUUAGAAAAUAAACAUUUCAAACAUAUAAAAUAUUUCCAUAUAAUAAAGAAUUUUAUUUUAUAUAAAUUAUAUUUUCGUAAUUUUAAUGAAAUUGAUGAAUCAAUUUUUAUAUUUUUAAAAUUAAAUUUUUAAAUUUUUUUAUAUUUAAUUCAUCCAAAUAUUAUGUUAUUUUAUUCAUUAUAUACACCAAUUCAAAAUUAGUGGAUUAUUAAAUUAAUUUUUGAGAGUAUAAUUUAUUUUUAAAAUACUUUUUUAAAAAUUUACAAUCUAUUAAAUAUAUAAUUUAUGUAUAAUAAUAAUUAUAAAUAUUUAUAAUACACGUAUUAUUUAAUUUAAAAUAAUAAUAUAUACAAAAUAAUAUAUAUAUAUAUAUAUAUAUAUAUAUAUUAUAACUUUUUCAUAAUUAUUGUUACACAUAAAAUAAAAGAUGAAAAGUGGUUAGCUUCAAAGAAUGACAUGUGCACUUCCUUUAGUUAUAUUAUAUAUUAAAUUAUAUAAUAAUAUAGAAAAGAUAUAAAUAUAAUAAAUAUAAAUUAAUAUUAUUUUUAUUCAUAAAAUUAAUUUAUAUUUAAAAAAUAAUAUAAACAUAGUGUUUUUUUGGGUAAAUUAGUUUUAUAGCAUUUGAAGCCCACACAUAUUAUAUUGAGGAAGGAGUGAGAAGCUGAAAUUCAGAAACAUUCAGAAUCAAAGGGUUCAUGGGCCGUUGAUCAAUUCAAAAUUUCAAUAAUUUUAUACCCAACCUAGUUGAACGGAAAAAGAAAUUUUCAAUUUGGUUUAUUUAGUUAAAUUGAAUUGAUGAGAUUCUACUGAUAUCUUUAAAUAUGUGAGCUAGUUGUGAACUAUAUAAUUUUAAAAUAAAAUUUAUUAAUUUUUAAUUUAAUUAAAUCAAAAGCAUAAUUUUUAUUUACUAGAUGAUCAGUAAUUUUUUGUUUAAUUAGAACAAUAAAAAGUAACAUUAUUUGCUUGUAUAUUUUUUAAUUUUAAAUUAUAAUUUAUGCUAUUUUAUAUUAAAAUUAUAAAAUUAAUUUAAUUUCAAUUUUAAAUUAUUUACUUAUAUCACAAGAUAUUUUUAAAAUUUAAAACGAAAAUUUGAGAUUUUUUUUUAUUCCUUAAAUGGUACUCUACAAAGACAUUAAUGAGAUUCGGUUUAAAAUGAUAGCUAAAAUCAAUAAAUAAACCACAAUUAUUUAAUGGCUAUCAUGCUGUUAUCCAUUUCUAAUUAAAUUGAAUAUCGGUCUAUUUAAUUUAAAAUUAAAUUAAAUAAAUUAAAAAUUAAAAUUUUGAUAUUUAUAAAAAUUAAAUCUAAUUAAUUUUGAUCAGAAAUUAAAUCGAAUCGAAUUGAUUUAAUUCGAUUUGAUUUAAUUCAGUUUGAUCGGUUUAAUUUUUUAAUAAAUUUUUUAAUUUUUACACUUUAUUUUUAAUAUUUUAAAAUUUAAUUGAAAUAUUUUAAUUUUAUAAAAUGCUUUCUCAUAAAAAGAUCAAUUCUGGCCAACAAAAUACUACCCCAUAUAGCAAUAUCAGAUAAUUUUCAUUCAAAUUCAAAUUUUUAGUAUAUUUUUAUUUUGAUCAUUUAAUUUUAUUUUUUUAAAAAUUUUUCAAAUUUCAAUUAAAUUUUCAUUCAACUCUUUCUAAGCAGACUUCUAGAUUAAAAUGAAUUAAAAAACUUUUUCUUUUUAUUCUUUUUUAUUUAUAAAAAAAAUUAAAUAUUUUCUCCCUUUCCUUUCUCUCCCUACUAAAAAGAUAGGAUUUCAUUUUGCAAUAUAAAAAAUAAUAGAGAAAUUUAAAGUUAUCUAAAAUUAUUACAGUUAUCUAUAAUAAAAUAAAAAAAAAUUAAAGAUAAAAUAAAUUAAACCAAUACUUCUUAUGCAUUGAUUAAAGAAAAACUGAAAAUAACAUCACAUUUCUAAUAAUCAUCACUUAUUUUAUUUUUUAAUAAAGUCCAAGGAAUAUAUAUAAUAUACAGGUUAUGUUUUAUUUUUUUUUUAUAAAUUUAUUAUUUAAACUAUUUUAAAUUUUUAAAUAUUAAAAUAUUAUUUUAAAAAAUAGAAUAAUAAUUAUCUAAAAUUAAUUUUAUUAUAAAUAUGUAUAAAAUUUUGUAAAUAACCAUUUAAAAAAAACCUAUCCUUUAACCUUUAAAAUAAAAUGAUAAAUUAACAAAUAAUUUACUUUUAAUAAAAUUUUAUAUUUUUAUUUUAAAUAUAAAAAUAUUAUACAUUUAAAAUAAAUUAAUAAAUAAUAUGCAGAAUACAGUUGUUUAAAUACUAAAAUUUCAUUUAUAAAAUGAUCUAAAUUAAUAUCUAAAAAUUAUUCAUUAAUGUUUAAAAUAAAAUUGUAUCUAAUUAAUAUUUUUAUUAUUAGUAAAAAAAUUUUUGUUUAAUUUAAAAAUAAAAUAUAAAAACAUAUUAAUUAAACUAUUAAAAUAAAAUAAUUAAUAAGUUAUGUGAAUAAAUAUAUAAAAAUUAAAAAUAAAUUAAAAAAAGAAGAGAUAAUAAAAAUAAAAAAUAGAUGAUAAAAAAGAGAGAAAACAGAUUAUUUAUUUAAAAUGAAAAAAUAAAAUUAAGUGAUCCAAUUAAAAAUAUAUUAAAAAUUAAAAAUUAUCGAAUAAAAUAUUAGAUAUAUAUUCUGAUCUUAGAAAAUAGUGGGCUAAUUGAUUGUCUUUUCCAUAUGGGGUUAAAUCAAUUCAUUUGAAAUCAGCCACUUGGUGUUUGUCCAAUGCGUUCCAGACUUUGAUUACAAUUUUCCUUAAAAAUCCAAUCUUUUUUGCAUCACCCAAUAAGCACCCUUCAAGAUUCCUUUUCUUCUGUUUGGACUCAGUGGAUUACUUCACGCGUAAUUAAUAAGGAGAGAGAUUAAGUAUAUACUUAACUUAAAAGUCAACCUUUUACUUUUAUUAAAAUUUGGAAACUAAAUGUUUUAAUUUAUUAAAAAUAAACUUAUACUUAAUAUAUUUAUUUUUAAAAAUUAAAAUUUCAAAUGCCAGCUCUUAUAUUAAGAAUUUCAUAAUCUAAAUGUGUAUUAUAUUUACAGUAUCAAAAUUCUUUAUACACUUGCUUGAUGGGAGUUUUCAUAUGCUAAAUAUUAAAACUUUUCCUCACUUUCUUUUUACAUUAUUUAAGUGUUUGUACAUAAAUGAGUCUUAGGCUUUAAAACAUAAAGUUUAAAGAGUUACAAUAAAAGAAUGUGAUAUCUUAUAUUUGGCCUAAGGAUAUAUUCCUUUAUAAGAAUAUGUCUUUUGAUAUAAUUGGAUUGAUAGUUAACUCAUUUCACUUUUCAACACUAUAUCAUUAACAUUGUUGUAUUCUUAUUAACAAACAUCUAUAAAUCUUGCAUUCUUGAUCACUUCAAAAUCUCAGCUUUUAGGUUGAACAAGAAAAUGAUGUUUAGUUGCUCUUCCGAGACAAGUCGGCGUAGAAUUUUAUUAUCCAAUCAAAAAGUAAAUAUAUAUUCAGUAUUGGGCAACACAGCCAAGAUCACAUCUACAUAUAUCUUUACUUAAUUCUUUGCCAUUGAAAUAGCAUCAAUAAGCUUGUUGAUAAGGCAUAUUUCCCUUAACCAUGGGUAGAGUAUGACAAUAUUUUUUAUCUAGUUUAUGUCAUCUUCUUUGCUAGUAUAAGGAUUGAAACUACAAAAAUUGGUCACUCUCUCAUUAGAAGUCCAAACCAGGAAAUCAUACAUUGAAUACAUCCUAUGGAUGAAAAGACAUAUUGGAGAAUGGAUAACCCCUCAUUGCAAGUUUGUCGCUAGUGUAGAAGAAUCACGUUCCAUUUAUACACAUAUAGAAAAAUUGACUAAUAAUUAACUUUUGAAUUUACACAUAAGAAAAUCAUACUUAAAUAAAAGAAUGGCAAUAAAAAACUACCUCGAACUGAAAGAAAAAAAUAGCAAUUUAUUUUUAAUUUAAAAUGGAUAGCGAAAAUGGUGUUUAAUAGAGAUGCUCCAGAAAGUUCAAUACAAGAAAAACAGAUGCCAUGAUCUAAAGAGACAAAGGAAGUGCAGAAAAAGUUAAGAAGAUCUAGAACACAUGGAUGAAGAAAAGGAACAUUCAAGUGAUAGGCACAAGAUAGUGAUAUAAAUAGGGUACACAAAUAGGAGUGUGAGGUUCUAGUUCCAAAAUGCUUCUUUGUAACAAUCGGAAUUGAAAUUAAAAGUUGAUUAUUUGCUUUUUAGAUCUAGAAUUGGAACUAACAUUCAGUUUCAUACUAUAUUUUUUUAGUUUUGAUUCAAUUUUCAAUUUUGAUUUUAGUAUAGUUUGGAUUCAGUUCUUAAUUCUUACAAUAAAAUAUACAUAAUUAAAACUCUAAUUAAAAUUGAUUUUAUUAAUUUAUUUUCUAGUAAUGUGAAGAUAUAUAUAUUAUUUUAAUAGAACAAAUAAUAACUAAAUAAUUAAAUUAAGGCCAAUUUUUGUAAAAAACCUAAAACUUUUUGCCAAUUUGCAAUUUAAUCAAAAAAUUUAAAACUAUAUUUAAUUGUCCAAAUUUACAAUUAAACUUAUUUGCAAUUAUAUCCAGUUGAAAAUCUAGAUGGGGGAGUGUGUCUAAAGGUGGCAUACUAAUGGUUUUUUUAUUAUUUUUUUGAAAUGAUUUAGAUGAAAUCUAGACUAACUCUUUCCACCUAAGCUAACUACGGUUAAGUAUUUAAGACCUAAGUAAAUAAGAUUAUUAUUUCAAAUUAAGUCAAUAAAUUAGAUAGUUAAAAUCCUUAAUCCGUAAUACACUAAGAAUCUCUAAUGUUACUGUAUUUAUUAAAGCACGAUUUACGGUUCAACUAAAUUUGCAAUCCUAAACUCAUCAAAGGGAUAUGAGACAUGCACCCAAAUUAUCUUCUCAAAAUGGGUUUGCACUUUAGUUUCAUUAUAGACUAGUUUGGAGAGGUGUUUUUCUAGUUCCCUCUAUCUCCACUAGAGAGAUUACUUGAGUAUUGCAUUUUUUUCUUUAUCUCUACCUUAUAGGGCGUUCAAUUUGCUCAGCAUCUUUCACCAAAGAAGAAAAUCAUACUUGUUUCUCUCACUAAUAAUACCAUUCAAUUUUUCAUUGAUUUCUUGUAUCUUAUAAGCAAUAUCAUGACACAAACCAACUUCAAGCCAAGAAAAAGCAAAAGUAAAAAGAGCGGAAGAAAAAUCAAAACCUAUGAUUAGCCAUGAUAAUAGCAACAUAUUCUCACAUUUACAAAGACAAAGGAAAAAUACGUUCAGGAUUUAAUCACAUUAGUUUUGAGUUUAGGGAUUCUCAAUGUAGUAGGGAUUAGGGAUUCUUGAUGUAUUAUGGAUUUUAGCUGUCUAAUUUAUUUAUUUAAUUUCAAUAAUAACUCCAGGUACCUUCUUUAAUAGGUGUCAUUUGAGUCAUCUUAUAAUAAUAAGCCAUAUAUGUAUACCACCUCGGAUAGACACACUUUCCCAAAUUUAGAUUACCAAUUAAAUAUAAUUGAAAAUAAAUUUAUAAAUUUGGAUAAUUAAACCAAGUUGUAAAGUUUUAGAUUAAAUUAUAAGUUGGCUAAAAUUUUUUGAUUUUUCAUACCAAUUGACCUUAAUUAAUUAAAUUAUAUAUUUAAAAAUCUUUAAUAACUAACUAAUAUAUUGUAAUUAAUAAUAAUACAUUGUUAUUUUAUAUUGUUAGUAACUGUUUCACAGAUAUACCAUGGGUAAUAAUAAAAAUUAUAAAUAAACAUAUAUAAUUUUAUUAAUAUAACGAUCAUAUAUAUAUAGUAUAUUUAAAUAAUUAAUUGAUUAAAUUAUUUAAAUUACAUGGUUAGAAUCUUUCAUAACUAACUAAAAUAUUUAAAAAUUUUUUUCAACGAAUAACAUAACAUUCAUUGGUCGUUUAAAGAUAAGGCUAAGGGCAGAUACAUGAAAGAGUAUGUACAAUUAUAAGGCCGAAAUACAUAAAGAGAAAGAAUCUAAUCUAAUCCAAAUAUUUGGAACCCUAAAAACCCUAUGAGGAUGACCAAUACUACUUCUCCACUUGCUACUACCAAUACUACUUCUCCACUAAAACCUGUAGCCACCUGAGCCAUACAAUGACUCUAAGACUGACAAAUCACUAUAGUAAUCCAAAUAGGUCCUAGUAUAUACUCAAGCACCGAGAAAAGGGGAAAAAAAAUGUUCAAGCAACUCCAGUCAUAGAGGAAGUAGAGGAAAAGACAAAGUGAGAAAGAGAUGGAAGCUAUCGUAAGCCUUUAACCAAAUAUCUCAAUGGUUAAAGGAGGCUUCAACUAUCUCAAAAAGGUAGACAAAAGGGAUGAAACUAUUCUUUAAUAUGACCCAUUCGCAUCAUUACUGUGAGCCAUCUCCAAACCAUCUUCGCGAUGAGAAUCAAGAUGUAGCACAGAGUUGAUUUAGCCUCAAUCUCAAUCAACACAUGCAAAGAGGAAAGAGCCGCUGAAAAGAAUUGACGACAAGCCUUCAUGUUGCAAAAAGGAAAGGAUGGCCUUCUAUAAUCAAUUUGAGGAAUCCCUCACCAGGACCAACAAAAACCACUAGAACAACGGAUACAAUAUACUAGCCAAGGAAGAUCAAAUCUAAAGAAACCAAAACAUCAAACUGAUCGGACACAGAUGAAGCACCCUCGCUAAGCUCAGUUCGCUCGCUGGAGAAACAAGAAAACAAACACACAAAACUAUUGACAAACCCAUGAAGAAGGGGAGAAGCGAACCUAGGUAGGGGCGUGGAGAGCCAUCCCUACUUAAGAGGGAUAAGUACACAUGCAGAAGGGGAGAAGCGAACCUAAGUAGGGGCGUGGGGAGCCACCUCUACCUAAGAGGGAUAAGUACCCAUGUGCGGAGAGCCACCUCUACUUAAGAGGGAUAAGUACCCAUGCAGAAGGGGAGAAGCGAACCUAAGUAGGGGCAUGGAGAGCCACCCCUACCUAAGAGGGAUAAGGGCGACUGACAAUUCUUGUAAAAACCAAUGCCUAAUGCCUCAAGAACUCUCUCACCAACGGAGAGAAAAAAUCUCUCCCUAAGAAACCUUAACUCAAAUAUAUGAUUAUUUUAUAUUAUUAACAACUAUUUUCUAUACUUAUAACCAAUAAUAAUAAUAAUAAUAAUAAUUACAAGUACAUGUACACAUAUAUAAUUAAAAUUGAUUUUUAAUUUAUAUUCUAUUAACAUGAAGAUAAUAUAUAUAAUCUAUUUAGAUAGAACAAAUUAUAACAACUAAUUAAAAUAGUUAAAUUAUUUAUUUGGACACAAAUGAAACACUCUCGCUAAGCUCAGUUCGCUGGAGAAACAAGAAAAAUAAUCACAAAAAACUAUUUACAAAUCUACACAAAAGGGGAGGAGUGAACCUAUAUCUGGGUAGGGGUGUGGAGAGCUACCCUAUCUAGGAGGGACAAGGGCGACUGACAAUUCCAGCAAAAACCAAGUGCUACCGACAAGGGCGACUCACAAUUUGAUAAAAUAAAAGUAAAAAGAGGAAAACAUAAAAUAACUCUUUCAAAAUUCUUCUACUUAAAAAACUUUUAUUUUUUAUUUAUUUUUUUAUGUUCUUCGUAAAAAUAUCACUUAAAUUUUUAAUAAAAUAUUUAAUUUUAAAUGAUUAAGCAUACUGAUGAAUUUGCAUUAAAGAUAUGUUAAAGUAAAUAGAAUUUCAUUAGAACUUCGAACUAAAAUUGGGUUAAGAAGUAAAUUAAACUCAAAUUUUAUAUUGAUAAGAUUAUAUUAUUGAAGAAUUUUAAAAUAAAUAGAACUUCUGAGAAAAAAUAAAAUAAGUAGAACUUGGUUAUGAUUUGAAAACCAAAUUACAUUAAAAAUUUGUAUUAUCACUUAAGAAUUAAAAUUUUAAUUUUAAUAAUUUUGAAAAAAAAAAAAUUCUCUCAUUGCUAUACUAUAAAAAUAAUAAAUUAUAGUAUUACUCAACAUGUUUUGUACGUCAUUUUUAUUUAUUAUAAAUAUCAUUUAUUUUUUAUUAGUAAUAUUUAACAUUUUAUUAUUAUAAUAAAUUGUUUUCUUAUGAAAAAAACCAAUUUAUAAUAUUAAUAGAAUCUAAUGAAUAUCAACAAAAUAAAAUCCUAAUACUAUUACAACUAUUAAACAACUCAACAAUUAGAAUAUCAACUAUUAUUAAAAUUAUUUUUAAAUUUAAAGUCAAUGAUAAAUAAAUAAAUAAGUUAGGGAUAUAAUAGAUAAUUCUAAUAAUAAUAAAAAAUAUAUAAAUUUAUUGAUAAUAAUAAUUCAAUUAAAUUAAUAUUAAAAUUAUUAUUUUAUUUCUAAAUAUAAUAUAUUAUAAAAAAUUUUAAUUUUUAAUAAACUACUUAUUUUUAUAUACGAAUUCUUUUAUUUAAUUCAUUAUUUUUUUAAAAAUAUAAUUUAACUUACAAUAAAAAUUCAAUAAAUAGAAUUUAAAUGUUAAAAGACAUCUUUUAUAAUUAAAAUUUAAUCAAGAACUUCUUCAUUUAAUUUAAAUUUAAAUAGACUAAAACUUAAUUAAAUAAUUAAAUUAAAAAAUUUAAAUAAUAACAAAUUGUAAUUAUUUUAGAAAAAAAAUAGUUUAACUUACAAUAAAAUUUCAAUAUAAAUAAUUUAAAUAUUAAGAGAAUUUUUUAUGAUAUAAUUUAAUUUAAAUGUUAAAGAGAUUUCUUCAUUUAAUUUAGAUUUAAAUAGAAUAUUAAUAUAAUUAAAUAAUUAAAUUAAAAGAUUUUAAAAAUAACAAAAUUAUAAUUAACAAAAUAUAAUAAAGGCAAUUUAGAAAAUCUUAAUACUUUUAUAUAUAAUAUAGAUUAAUUGUGACUUUCUAAAUUAAAAUUUUAUAUUAAUAAAUUAUUUAAAAUUACAUGAUAUAAUAAAUAAUUAUAUAUAAUUUAUCAAAAGAUAAAUCAGAUAUCACCUAUGAAAUAUCAACUACAUAUUAGCUAUUAGUAAUAAUUAGUCUAUUCACAAAUUUAAUUCGGUAGUACGUACAUCUAAAUAAAUCUGAGAAAUUUCAAGUUCUAUUUUUUCAAUCUUCAAUUUCCAUUUAAAAAAAAAACAAUAAUUAGUAAUGGUAUUUAACACUUAAACUAAACAGGCCUUUAGUGUUUUACCAGUGCUUUAUUUUGCUUUAAAAUUCAAUUUUUUCGCAUCACCCAAUAAGCAAGUAUUAAGAAUUCUUUUUCUUCUACUUAGACUUUUAGGACACUCUUAGUAGGGAUUGGUCGAACCGGUUGUAAAAUGCCUCUCUUUAAGAAUAAAAAUUAAAAUCGAAAUUAAAAUUCAAUUUUAUGAGUUUUUUAGAAUCAAAGUGGAUCAAUAUUCAGUUUAAUUUUAGUUUGAUACUAUAUAAUUUCAAUAUCAAUUCGAUUCUAGUUUUAAUUGUUAUUUCUAUUUUAAUUUUAAUAUAGUUCAGUUUGAUUUUAAUUACUAUAGUAAAAUUUACAUUAUUAAAAUAUAAUUAAAAUAAAAUUUUUAUUAAUUUAUUUUCUAGUAAUGCAAAAAUAAUCCUUUCGUUUGGUAUGUAUUAUUUUACAAGAAAAAAAUUUAAAUGAAUUCUAUUGAAAAAAUUUUAAAUAAAUUUUUAUAAAAAAAUAAGAAGAUUAAUAUUAAAUUAAAUUAAAUUAAAUUUUUAAGAAAUUUUUAAUUACAAAAUAUAUAUACUAUUUAAAUAUAAUAAAUUAUGACCAACUAAUUAAAUUAGUUAAAUUAUAUAUUUAGAUGUGUUUAAUAACUAACUAAUACAUUGUAAUUAAUAAUAACACAUGGUUAUUUUAUAUUAUUAAUAAGUAUUUCAUAAAUAUAAAUGGAUAAUAAUAAUUAUUAUAAAUACACAUAUAUAAUUACAAUUGAUUAUAUUAAUAUUUCAUAUAUAAGCUUAAAGAUGGUGUAGGAUUAAAAAACAAUAAAUAAAUAAAAAGUAAAGUACAAAAAUCUUAUAGAAUUUUUUUUCUCUAAGCAUAUGAGAUAUCGUUGAUAAAGUCUGAAAGUUUUAAGAUUGUACAAAACCAAAUAAACAAAGAGUUAUUUAGGACUCAAUUAAAAAAAAAUCAAAGUAACACAAAAUUCUAAAAAACUCGACAAAGCAACUAACACAACCUAUUUAUUUUCUCCUUCUUAACAAGCUUUCGUCAAUAAAAGAAAACACAAUAAAAAAUUAUCUAUAAUCUCGUUUAGAAGGAAGGGAGCAUAAACUCAUAACUGAUUAAGGUGUAGAAAGCUAUCCCUGUUUAGGAGGGAUAGUGGCUGCCGCAAGAGAACUCUCAUACAGAAAAAAAAAAUUGUCUAAAACAAAAACCUCUCAUACAGAAAAAAAAAACUCUCUCUAAAAAAUUAAAGAGAGAAGUGGCCAAAUAUUUAUUUUAUAGAUACGAGAUUUAAAAAAAAAAAAGGAAAAAUAAAUUUAUACUUUACUGCAAACUCAUAGCUGCAAUAAGGUAUUAUAUAUAUAUAUAUAAUGUUAAUUUAUAUUAUGUUUUUGAAAUUUAGUAAAUAUUUAUAAUUUAAUUUUUAUUUUUCAAAUAGUAAAUAAUUUAACCUAUAAAUUUUUAAUUAAAAUAAUUAUUCUGUUAAAUUUACUAUUAAUCAAUUAUUUAUUGAAUAAAUCAAUCAAAUUAAAGGACUGACUUAUUAUAAAUAUUAAAAUUAUACAAGAUAAAUUAUUAUAAAUUAUUAAACAUAAAGGAGUUAAACUGUUGCAAAAAGUGAAAUUCAAAUGAGUAAAUUGUUAUAGUCUAACAAUAUAGUUUAAUAUAAUGACUAUUUUGUUAAUAAAAGAAAAUUUAAAAAUUAAAUUAUUUCAGCAGUAUUGCAUUAAAUAUUUUCUCUAUCCUAUUAAUAUAAAUAAUUUAAUUUAAAUAUUUGUAUUUAUAUUUUUUUAUUAUUUCAUAUAAAAAAUAUAUAAAUUUUAUUAAAAAAAAUUUGUUAAUUUGUGUCAAAUUCACUUAUUUUAAUAGAGUUGAGAAAAUAUUUAAUAUAAAGCUGAAUAAUAUAUUUUGAUAUAAAUUGGACGCUAAAAAAUUUAGAAGUUAAAGAUUUAGAGUUUAUAUAGUACAAAAAAUAUUUAAUAUAAAAUUAUUAUAAAAUAUCUUGACAUAUAUUCUUAAUUUAUAUAUUAGAAAUUAAGAAAAUUAUAAUUAAAAAGUUAAAAGUUUACUUGAUUUUUUUCAAAGACUAAUAGUAAAUUUGAGACUAAAUUAUUUAUUAUUUAAAAGCUAGGAAUUAAAUUGUAAUUUUUAUUAUAUUUUAAGAAUCAUAAUGUAAAUUUUAUAAGCUUACUGAAAUUUAAAGAAGGGUAAGCUUUUUUAUUUUUUAUUUUUACUUUUUGAAUGGUUACCGCAUUUAUAAGAUGCAAUAAUGGUUAUAAUAUCUUAUAGAUACGGUUUUAACCCAAAUCACUCUGAUUUGAAAAUAUUUUUCUCUUAAACUCUUAUAUGAAUUUUUUUUUCUUGCUUUGUGUAGAAACAAAGUACUGAUUUUUUUAUAAACACCCUUUUCUUUGAAACAAUUGAUAGAAGUUUGGUUACAAACUCUGUUGCAUUAUCAAAUCUUACCUAUAUGCUUUGCCACAAAUUCUUUUAACACCAUAAAUAUUAUUUUCUCUUAACAAAUAUAUCUAGAUUACUUUAGAAAAGUCAUCGAUAAUCAUCCACAUAUAUUUGAAACCAAAAUUGAAAUGAUAUUAUAGGGUUCCCAAAGAUCAAUAUGAAUAAAUUCAAAUACACAUUUAGUUGAUAUUCUAUUCCUUUUGAAAACUUGACACGGAGCAACUAGCAUUGGAUUUUAAGGCAAACUUGGAUCGAGAUUAAUUUUUGUAUUUUAAUUAUUAUUUUUGGAUAUUUUGGAUAUUUUCAUAAUUUUUCAUAUUAGGGUUUUGUUUCUAUUAUAAAUAGCUUCCUUUGGCUAUUAGAAACUCACUUUUCAAUCUUUGAGGAAUUUCAGUAAGACUUUUAGUCUUUUAUUCUAUCUUUUCUCUUAUUUCGUCUUAGCCAACGAUAUUGGUUGAAACUCCUGACGGAGUCUAAAUAGUCCUUUAUCAGAUUGGUAUCAGAGCAAAGUUCGACCAUGGUAGAUAACCAAGAGGCGCGACUUGCUGCGAUUGAGGCAUCCUUGGCAAAAUUGAGGGAGAUGAUCGGACAGCUGAACCUGCAACAGGGAAUCCACCAACCCGCCGCCGCCACACAUCCCCAUGUGGUCGCCAAUCCUAUGGCCGCCAAUCCUGUGGCCGCCAUUCCUGUGGCCGCCAAUCCUGUGGUCGUCAAUUCUAUGCCUGCAAAUCUCCAACAGAACUAUCAGGAAGGUUACAGGAUCAAGGUAGACCUUCAAAACUUUUCUAGUUCGUUAGAUGUUGAAUCUGUUCUUGAUUGGCUGGUAGAGGUUGAACGCUUCUUUGAAAUUAUGAAUGUGGAAGAGGAGCACAAGGUUCCAAUUGUGGCCUAUAAGUUGAAAGGGGUGCAGCAGCCUGGUGGAAUUCGAUUCAAAACGAACGCUAUCGGAGGAGGCUAGAGCCCAUACGAAACUGGGUGCUGAUGAAGCAGAUGUUUGAACAAUGGUUCUUUCCUAGCGAUCAUGCUCAGGUCUUAUAUAACCGGUAUCAUGACUGUGUACAAGGAAACCGAAGGGUGGAUGAGUAUACCGAGGAGUUUUUAAGGCUACAGGUGAGAUGUGAAAACUGUGAGAACGAGGCCCAACAGGUUGCUCAUUAUCAGAGGAGGCUGAAUCACGAAAUUCGUUGUAUGAUGGGAGUAGCAGCGAUUUUCACCUUGGCAGACGCUAUUGAGAUGGCAAAAAGGGCUGAAGAGCGUAUUGAUUGGCAGCCACGACAGCAGCAGUACAACCGAAAUUUCAAUUAUAGAAAUUCUAGUUCAACAGGGACGUAGCAAUAUAGAGGCAACUACAGCGGGCAGCCUUCUAAGGUUGUAAACUCUGGCAACCCUCUGAAUACCAUGGAAGAAAGGAGAGACAGUAAAGGCAAGGCAGUCACUACUACAAUAGACAAAGGAGGCAGGACCAAUCCUUAUCAGAAGCCAAUGGGAGACAUAUGUUACCGGUGCAGGCAAUCUAGUCAUCGAUUGAAUAAUUGUCCAGAACGUAGAGGAGUUAAUACUGAUAGCCGGUAGGUUAAUAUAGUUGAGCAGGUGGCUGAAACUGACGAGGAAGAGGAUGACGAUGACAGAUCUAUUGCUAGUUCUGAAGAUGGAGAGGUCACCUAUGUGGUGAAAAAGAUCUUGUGCUCAACAAAACAGGAGGAUGAGACACAAAGGAGGAAGAUUUUCCAGGCAAAGUGUUGAGUAGGAGAGACAAUUUGUAGGCUAAUUAUAGAUAGCUGCAGUUGUGAGAAUCUGAUAGCUAAGCAGUUGGUGGAAAAAUUACAGUUGCUUACACAGCCUCACCCCUCACCAUACAAAGUCGGAUGGAUUAAGGAAGGACCGACAAUUGAGGUUAACAGAAUCUGCAGCGUGCCUAUCUCGAUCGGUAAAUCUUAUACUGAACCUGUUAAUUGUGAUGUUGUGGAUAUGAAUUGCUGUGGCAUUUUGCUAGGUCGCCCGUGGCAAUUCGACGUUGAUGCUUUGCAUAAAGGGAAGGAGAAUUCAUACAUGUUCACGUGGAAUCAAAAGAAGAUUACUAUCUUACCUUCCGGUUCUGCGAAACAUUCUAAAGUGGAAGGGAAGACUGUUGUUGCUGUUUCCAAGGGAGUGCAGAGGCUAUCAGGCACAGUUGAGGAAUCUGAAAGCACACUGGCUUUAUUGGUGAGAGCAAAAGGUACAAUGGAGGAUGCACCAUCUUUAACACCACCCGUCAAAGAGCUGUUGAAGGAGUUUCCUAAGAUAGUGGAGGAAUCAUCCAAGCUUCCACCUCUGCGGAAUAUCCAAUAUCAGAUUGAUCUCAUUCCUGGAUCAAAACUACUGAAUCUGCCUCAUUACAAGAUGAGUCCAAAGGAGAGUGAAAUCCUCCAAGGCCAGGUGGAAUUUACUAACAACAGUGUUGUCCAUAGCUCCGCAAAGAUGUCACCGUUUGCAGUUGUGUACAGGAAAGUCUCAGCGCAUACAGUUGAUCUUAUUGCCCUUCCCACAGGUUCUCACAAUAGUAUUGCAGCAAGCAACUUGGGAAAGUAGCAUGUUGAUGUUUUCAAACAGAUACAACAGUGCCUUACAGAAGUCAAUGACAAAUAUAAAGCUACAGCUGAUAAACAUAGGUAUUUCAAGUUCUUCAAUAUCGGUAUUCAAGUUAUGGUGUAUUUACACAAGUAGCGUGGUGGAGGAUAGAAAAAGCUUGACGCUAAGAAGAUUGGUCCAUUCCAGAUCAUUUAGAAAAUCAAUGACAAUGCCUAUAUUCUUGACCUCCCACAUGAGAUGAAAAUUUCCAAGACAUUUAAUGUGAUAGAUCUAUUUCAGUACUACCCUGCUGAUGACAACUCGAGAUCGAGUUCUUUACAAGUGGAAGGGAAUGACCCGGAGCAACUAGCCUUGGAUUUUAAGGCAAACUUGGACCGGGGCUAAUUUUUGUAUUUUAAUUAUUAUUUUUGGAUAUUUUGGAUAUUUUUAUAAUUUUGCAUAUUAGGAUUUUGUUUCUAUUAUAAAUAGCCUCCUUUGGCUAUUAGAAACUCACUUUUCAAUCUUUGAGGAAUUUUAGUAAGACUUUUAGUCUUUCAUCCUAUCUUUUCUCUUAUUUCGUCUUAACCAACGAUAUUGGUUGAAACUCCUGACGGAUUCUAAAUAGUCCUUUAUCAAAACUAGUCUUAGCUGCUUUGUAAAAAUAAGCAUCACACACAUAAAGACUACAAUCUUGUGAACUUCUUUUAUGAUACAUGACCUAAACUAUUAUGCCACAAGUAAUACAAACUAGAUUGUCAGGAGUAAGUGCUUGAUAAGCAUGUGAGACAAAGUAGAUAGGAUAUUUAUAAUACUAUUAUAAAAAGUGGUUCUAAGCUACCGGUAAAAAAUUAUUGUAUUAUAUACUAAAAUUGUAGUUAUAAGUCAAUAAUAAUGAUUGAAAAUUCGUUGCAUCUAUAUCCGUUGUUGUGGCAUAAGAUAAUAAUGUGCUUAUUUUUCACAGUAGAUAAAAAGUGUGGCUAAAAUUAUAAUUUUAUUAAACAUAAAAAUAAAUCAUUUAUUAAAAUAUUUUAUUAUGUUUAUAGUGAAAAAUUAAAUAUUUUUUAUAAUAAUUUUAAACUGCUGUGAAUUGUUGUCUUAAUAAUAUUAAGACAAUAAUUUUAUAACUGCUACUAUAAUACUGCUGUAUAAACUCUAAAAUAUAGUAGUGAUAUUAUUAUAUUGCCUCGGUGACAUAAUUUUUGUUCACUUUAUCUUUUUAUAUAGAUUAAAAAAUGAUAGUUAUUAUAGUUAAAAGAUAAAUUUUUUUAUUAAUUUUCAAUUAUAUCCAUAUUUAAGUUUUAUUGAAAUGAUAAAAUCAUUAUUAAUAAUAUAUGCUUGAAUUAAAUGCUAGGAGAGAGUUUGAAUUAUUAUUUGAAAAAAAUAAUUAAUGAGGAAUUAUAUUGAAAAUAAGAUAAAAUUAAAUAGAAUUAUAAUGAUCAAUUUAUAAUAAUUAAUUUAUAUAUUAACCAUUAUGUAAAAAAAAAAAAAGAAAGUGAAUAAAAAUUUUGAAAUGGCAAAAAAUAGAAAAAUAAAAAAAAAUAAAACGAGAGGAGUAUUUGGUAGGUUAUAGCUAAAUGAUUUUUAUUUCAAACUUGUAUAGACCCUUCUACAACCUCCCAAUUGCUAACAUAUCUUUAGUUACUAGGUCUCGUAAUAUAUUGCUUUUGAAACUAGAGAUAUACAAAAUAUUUUUUCAAUUGUAUUUUGGGAUGUAGAAUGAUUGUGCCAAUGUGAGUAACUGUCUUAGUUGCAUUUUCUAGCUUCUUACAUAUUGCAACAUAGACUAAGCUAUCACACAAAAAUUACAUAUUAUGUUUUGUAUUUUUUCUUAGAUCCUCAAUUUAUGGGAAAAUGAAAAAAAAAAAAGAAAAAACAAACCACAAUUAGUCGCUUCUCCACAAGAGCAGAGUAAGAAUCAUGACGAUUAACAUUAUUGAAGUUCAGUGUAUUAUUUAUCUUCUAUAAGGAGUUUCAAGUACCCCUAUAAUUAUCGAUUCUAUUGCACUAUAACAACUAGGUAGCCUUACAUAUUGCUACGAACCCUAUUUUCCAUGAGCGAAUGAAAGCAUCUAGAAAUUAAUUGCUAUGUGGUUAGUCAUCAAUUAUGAAAGGGCUUCAUUUUCAUUUUAAAUGUCUUUUCUUGCCUUCAAGUGGCAGAUUUGUUCACCAAACACCGGGAGAUGACUACAUUUCCCUCUCUUUUGUUUAAGAUGAGAUUAUGCACAGUUAAGGCAAAUCCAUCUUGAGGGGAUAAUAUUGCAUAAAAAAACUUGGAAAAGGUGUGAAUUAGGGCUAUGCAAUAGAUCGAUUCGGUUCCGAACCGAACCGAAUUGAAAAAACCGAAAACCAAAUUAUACAAAUAUUAAAAACUGAAAAAACCAAUUACAAAAAUAUAACUGAACUGAAUCAAACCAAUAAAAAUCGGUUCGGUUCGGUUACUUCAAACCGAAAUCUGUAAAUUUUUUUAAUUUUCUGCUUCUAAUUUCGGUAAAAUAAUUCAAUAAAUAUUUCACAUAAAUUUACUAAUAAAUAUUGUCUGAAUACAUAAUGAUAAUACUUAAAAAAAUCCAUAUAAAUCCAUGUAAAAUUUAAAAAUAUAUAUAAAAUCAGUGUUCCAUAUAAUAAAAGUAUGUAUAAAAUCGGUUAUUCGGUUUAUCGGUUAUUUAACACGUUUAAACCGAACCGAAUCAAAAACUGAAUAAACUGAAAAAUAUUAAUCGAACCGAACCUAACCUUCCGAUUAAUUGAACCAUUAAAUCAAAAUUAAUCGGUUUGAUUUGAUUUUUCGGUUCAAACCGAUUUAUGCUCUCCCCUAGUGUGAAUGGAAGAAACAUACGAGAAGCUAUCAGAAGACACCAUUGAGACCAUGCAUUUUGAAAAUGUGUAGAAUCUUUUUUGGUUAUACUAAGCUAUAAAUUAGUUACAUAAGGUUUUAGUUUUCUCGCUUCUCUUUACUUGUGUAUAUAAUGCAACAUUCAAUCAUUAAUUUGAGAUUCUCUAUAUUUUUUACUAAUUAUAAAUUUACAUUUUAUAAUUUCUCUACACAAAUCUAUAGUAGCUAUUAUCAUAAAACCUUAUAUAAUAGCAAAAAUCUUCUCUAGGAAUAACAUAUGCCACUGCUAACUUUUUAUAUUUAAUUAACAUUACUUUCUCUCAUUUUACUAGGAAGAAACUUUUAAGUUUUCAUUCCUACUUUUUUUUUUCUUACUCUUUUCUUCAUCUUUUUUUGCUUUUUUCUUUUUUUUUUUCUCCUUUUCCUUUUUUCCUUCUUUCAUUUUUUGGCAUGUCUUAAUACAAUUAUUUAUGAUAAAUUGCAACUUUUCUUUCCUUGCUCAAUCUAAAAUUUUCUAGCUAAGACAUGUUCUAAUCUAUUAUACUUUAUCUCGUCUUGCCCUAACUAAAUUUAAUUAUAUCGGUGUCCUACUAGCAAAGAACGUGCCCUAUUAAAAGUCAUCAAGAUGACCAUCUUACUUGAUAUAGCAAUUACUUCCAUACAAAAAGGAUAUGAGCUUGUCCCAACCAAAGUGUCAUAUGCUUAGAAUAAUAUAGAAAACCUUAUAGACUUUUAUAGCCUUUAUUCACCUUUAAUAAAGAGAAGAAUUAUGGCAUUGAAAUUUUGAACUGUUCGUUUAGCUUUUAAAUAUUUGAUCAAUUUAGACUAUUCAGCGACAAUACUUUUAAGAGAUUACAUAUGAUUGCAAUUAUACAUAUAUCUCUUCUAAGAGCACAAACCUUUUUUUUAAAUUAAAAUUACUAACUUCUAUAGCAACCAUAGGUCGAAGAAAUAUAACUUGAGAAAUACACAUUGAUUGAACUAUUUUUAUGUAAUUCUUCACCUAUUUUGGAAGAAGUGCAAAAGAGGUUCAAUUUUUAGAUAAAAGGAAAACAAAUACAAGAGAAAGAGUAAGGUAUAAGAUUUCAUGGAAAAUGCGCUACAAAUUCAAUAAUAUAAAAUUAUAAAAAGAAAGUCCUUUUACAUAUGCCCCUUGACACAAUGGACUAAGUUGUCAAGGGUGGUAAUAAAACGUAUAUUGCUUCAGAAAGAUACUUGGAACAUCAUCCUCUACUCUAUUAUUAAGCUCUUGAAACUUUUGCAUUGAAGUAAUUAAUAGAUCUCAAUUCUAACUUAGAUUAUAUGGCAUUCAAGGAUGCUUCAGGUAUUGACUUAUUAGCUUCCUUACUAACCUCUUGGGUUAUAAUGACAUUCACUGGUAGGAAAGGUUAAGGUGGGAUAACCAUUUCAGGAGGAUUGGCUAGACAAACUAAGCCUUCACUAGCUCUAGCUAUAAUUACUUCAGGUGGUUUGUUUGAUAUUGCCUUCUCUUGGUAUCUCAAGAAUUUAGAUGCCAACAACUUGGUCACUUCAUCCUUAAACUAUUUACAACUCCUAAAGUCAUGCCCACGGGCUCCCAUAUGGAAAGUGCAACUUAGUUCCUCUUGAGGGUCAUCAAAAUCAUUCCUCAAGACUCUUAGAACCAGACUAAAAUAUCCAUCUUUUACUCUUAUUUGAAGAAUUUCAUUUCAAUGAUCAACAAAUUACUCAACCUCACAAAUUAGGUCAUCUCCUUCCUUUCUAUAACAUUCAGGACAUUGGUAUUGGCUUCAUUACCAUGAUUUGGAAAGGGAUUGGUUAAGACAUUAGGGGUUGAGUUGUUUGCUUCUAUCUUUAGCCACCCGUUUCCAAUAAGCACAUUUACGCUAGAUUGCAGUGUGGUGCAAUUAUCAGUGGAUUGACCAAUUCCACCUCCAUGGAAUUCAUAUUAAGCUUUGGGGUUGUACCACCUAAGGUAUAGAGGUUACACUGGAUCCCACCGAAUAGGGACAAUCUGGUUGAUACUCCAUAAAUAAUGAUAAUCGCGCUUAGAGAUAUUGGAAGAGAAGGUUAAGUUUUCUGGUAUUGGAUUCACAUGGCCAUUUUGAGGAGUCGGUGCUUGAAUAAUUGGGUUGGAUAGGGAUGGUGGUCAAGGGACAUAUACAUUUUGGGAUUAUGAAAUUUGGAGAUAAGGAUUGUAACAGCCCGGAAACCGAACUGCUACUGGCGCUAGGAUCCAGAUCGACUUAAGGUCGCCGGGACCCGUAGCAAGCCUGCUAUACUCUCUAUGUACCUGUGAAAUCCCAUACAUGAUCAUACAUUUUCUGUAAAAAUUAAAACUUUGCUCUGUACCAAGGCUCAACCUGUGCAUGCACUAUCUCUGUACUAUAAAACCCCAACUAGAGCUCUCAUCAUUGCCCUAGGCGGGUCAAACUCAUACUAUGUUAAGCCUGGUUUUUCAUACAUAUAAUAAAAAUAUUUACAUAAACAGACCAUGUAUACAAAAGGGGAUUACAACACAUAUAGGUCAAGCACCAUGCUAUACACUGUACAAUACUAGACAACCCUUUACAAUAUUACAUGUCCACACUAUGCUAUUACAAAACUCUUUACUCUUUCUGUGCCCUGCUGAACUUCCCCCUGAACUCUGAACCUGCAAGACUGGGGUUAGGGGAGAGGGGUGAGCUACUAUAGCCCAGUGAGUAGAACAAAUAAAACAUGUUAAUAAAACAUGCUCUCAUGGAAUGCAUCACAUCACAAGUAAUCACCUUUCGGACGGACUGAAACAAAAAUCCCUUCGAACUGUGCCCGGCCCGCGAUGGAGCUCCUCAGGACUUGAUAAUACAAACAAUACUUUUUUUUUUCUGUGCCCGGCCCUUCGGGCUCCUCAGAACUUUAUAUGCCCGGCCCUCAAAGGGGCUCCUCAGGACUUUAUAGAAGGGCUAAUGAAUCCACUCUAUGUCCGUCCGCAAAUACAAUCAAUAAUGCAAUGCACAUCUUAGUGAAUUCUAAUGCAAUCAACCUAUUGCAUAUCAUGAUGCAUGGCACAUGCUAAAGACAUUUGGUUUCUCAUAUUAAAAGAUUAAGGUUAGUUCCACUCACCUCUGGCUAACUCUGAACUGACUCUGCAGAUUAUGAAGCAGUGCUCACUGCUGGUCCCUUUGGUUCCUCUGGUCCGUUCCUACAUAGGUGGACUAAAAUGAGGGACCAAACUAACUCAAGAACAACUCUAUAAAACUCCCCAAAAGCCCCCUAAAACAUCCUAAAACAAUCAUAUAAAAUAUGCAAAAGAAAACUGGACAGGGCACUUUCAGCGGCAGGUUCGGCGGCCAAAAUUCCUGUCCAGAGACGAAACUCAUGCAUGUUCGGCGGCACCUUCGGCUGCCGAAGGUCCCGUCCAGAGACGAAACUCCAACCUUCGGCGGCCGAAACCCCCUCACAGAGCCGAAAGUCUAAACUUUCGGGGGCAAGCUUAGGCAGCCGAAACAGCCUCCACAAGGGGUUCGGCGGCCGAACCUGGGUUCUCCUUUUAGGCAGAACCUUGCCCUGCUUCAUGCAAAACUCCUCCAAACUCACUCAACAUGCAACCAACAACUCCUCAACAAGCAUAUACCCAAGUACAUGCACAAAGGGGUCCAAAACUAACUUAAAACCCCAUCAAACAUAACAACACAUCAUCUAAACAUGCUUUUACACUAAAACAACAAACACAUCAACUUAACCUAAUCAUGCAUCUCUACCAUAAAACUUCCAUAAAACCCUCAUAAAACAUCAAAGAAGCUAAGGAUCUACACUUACCUCUUAAAGAUCUUGAGGAUAGGUGAUCCUAACGUGGAGAUAUGGAGAAAUCCACUCUCAAAGUCUCCAAGCUUCCAAACUUAGGUCUUUUGCUCAAAAACUUCAAAACAACAUAAAAACUCAUCAAAACUUUGCAUGAUUUGAGAAAACAUGAAAAUCACCCAAGGAAGAUCAUGGUCUCACCUCUGCUCGUGCAAAUGGAAAGAAGAUCUUAUCCAUUCACCGACCUAGGGCCUUUUAUAGGUGGCUGGCCAGACCACCUUCGGCGGCCAAACGUGAAACCGAAUGCCAUGCAUGUUCGGCGGCCGAAACUCACUUUCGGCGGCCGAACCUGGCUUUUCUCCCUUGGUUCUUUUCUUUCAAAAACUCAUUUCCUUAACACUUUAAAAUAUUAAAACUCAUGAAAAACAUACAAAAACAUAACUUUUACCCUUCUAGAGGAUCAUGACAUUCAAAAUUCCACCGGACGGUAGGAAUUCCGAUGCUAGACUCCAGCCGGGUAUUACAUUCUCCCCCCCUCAAGAACAUUCGUCCCCAAAUGUUCCUCAAACAACUAAACACAUAAACACAUAGAAAGGAGGAAAACUAACCUCAAAACAGAUAUGGAUAUUGCUGGAGCAUGGACUCUCGCGUCUCCCAGGUGCACUCUUCUAGGUUAUGGUGGUUCCACAGGACUUUCACCAUCGGGAUCUCCUUGUUUCUCAACUUUCUGAUUUGAGUGUCAAUGAUCCACACUGGCUGCUCCACAUAGGUGAGAUCUUCAAGGAUCUCUACAUCUGGCUCACUGAGAACCUUACCCGGAUCUGACACAAACUUUCGUAGCAUAGAAACAUGGAAAACCGGAUGGAUUUUUUCCAUAGAAGCGGGUAAAUCCAGCUUAUACGACACAUUCCCGAUCUUCUGCAAGAUCUCAAAGGGACCAAUGUACUGUGGAGCUAACUUACCCUUCUUUCCAAAACGAACCACUCCUUUCAUUGGGGACACCUUCAGCAAUACCAUAUCACCCUCCUGAAACUCUAUCUGCUUCCUGCGGAUAUCUGCAUAGCUCUUCUGCCUGCUCACAGCAGUUUUGAUCCUCUCUCUGAUAAUGGGCACCAACCUGCUGGUAAUCUCUACUAACUCUGGCCCUGCAAGAGCCUUCUCUCCUAUCUCUUCCCAGCAAACAGGUGUUCUGCACUUCCUCCCAUACAGAGCUUCAUAAGGGGCCAUCCCUAUGCUAGCAUGAUGGCUGUUAUUGUAGGCAAACUCCACCAAAGGUAGAUGCUGCCUCCAAGAACCGCCAAAGUCUAACACACACACAUUCUAAGCAUAUCCUCUAUGGUCUGGAUGGUCCUCUCUGAUUGUCCGUCCGUCUGUGGAAGGAAAGCAGUGCUGAAAUUCAACCUUGUGCCCAUAGUAUUUUGCAGACUCCGCCAAAACCUGGAGGUGAACUGAGGUCCUCUAUCUGAUACUAUUGACACUGGAACCCCAUGCAACCUUACUAUCUCUUCCACAUAGACCUGCGCUAACUUGUCCACAGAGUAGGUACUCCUGACUGGUAUGAAGUGAGCAGAUUUAGUUAGUCUAUCUACAAUCACCCAUAUGGAGUCUAGUCUGUGGGACGUCGCCGGUAACCCCACUACAAAAUCCAUAGCUAUGUUCUCCCAUUUCCAUUCCGGAAUCGGCAGUGGGUUAAGCAUUCCAACCGGCUUCUGAUGUUCUAGCUUCACCCUUUGACAUAUCUCGCAGGCUGACACAAACUGUGCCACUUCUCUCUUCAUAGCUGGCCACCAAUACACUCUUCUCAGGUCUUGAUACAUCUUGGUGGCUCCAGGGUGAACGCUAUACCUAGCAUUAUGAGCUUCCCUCAUAAUGUCUCCCUUUAAACUGAUGUCAUCUGGUACACAUAGUCUGUUCCCGUGGUGAAGAAUCCCUUUGCUGUCAAAUCUAAACUCUGCACUAUUGCUUGACUGAACAGUCCUGGCAAUUCUGACCAACUCUGGGUCCUCGUGCUGUUUCUGAGCUACUUGCUCCAGAAACACGGGAGUCACUCUCAUCUAUGCCAGCAAAGCACCUGUACCAGACAACUCUAACUGUAGCCCUUCUUCAAAGAGCCUAUACAACUCCAGCACCACUGGUCGUCUCUCUGCUGCUACAUGGGACAAACUGCCAAGUGAUUUCCGGCUUAAGGCAUCAGCUACAACAUUAGCCUUACCCAGAUGGUACUGGAUUUUGCAAUCAUAAUCACUGAGCAAUUCUACCCAUCGUCUCUGCCUCAAAUUCAGCUCUCUCUGACUCAAGAUGUACUGUAAACUCUUAUGAUCUGUAAAGAUCUCAAAUUUAACCCCAUACAGGUAAUGCCUCCACAUCUUGAGUGCAAAGAUAACUGCUGCCAUCUCAAGAUCGUGUGUAGGAUAGUUCAACUCGUGCUUCUUCAGCUGUCUAGAAGCAUAAGCUAUCACUCUAUUAUUCUGCAUUAACACACAACCCAAUCCCACUCGGAAUGCAUCACAGAACACUGAAAUCCUCAUUACUGUCUGGCAUAGCUAACACUGGUGCUGAUGUUAAUCUUUUCUUUAGCUCUUCAAAACUCUCUUCACACUGAUCUGACCAUACGAACUUCUGGUUCUUCCUGGUCAGUCUGGUCAUAGGAGCAGCUAUCUUCGAGAAGUCCUGUACGAACCUCCUGUAGUAACCUGCCAAACCCAAAAAGCUUUUAAUCUCUAUCACUGUGGUGGGUCUGGGCCAGUUAGCUACAGCUUCUAUCUUCUUGGGGUCUACCUCAAUACCCUCUGUUGAUACUAAAUGCCCCAAGAAUGAAAUGCUCCUCAACCAGAACUCGCACUUAGAGAACUUGGCAUACAAGCCAUGCUCUUUCAGAGUCUGCAGAACUGUCCUCAGAUGAUGGACAUGCUCCUCUGCAUCUCUGGAAUACACUAAGAUAUCAUCAAUGAAGACAAUAACAAAGUGAUCCAGAUACUCACUGAAAACUCUGUUCAUGAGAUCCAUGAAUGCUGCAGGGGCGUUAGUCAACCCGAACGGCAUCACCAAGAACUCAUAAUGCCCAUAUCUGGUCCUGAAAGCUGUCUUAGGUACAUCUUCCUCUCUGACUCUCAGCUGGUGAUACCCGGAUCUCAGAUCUAUUUUAGAGAAACAACCUGCUCCAGCUAGCUGGUCAAAUAGAUCGUCGAUCCUAGGUAGGGGAUACUUAUUCUUGGUAGUGACUUUGUUCAACUGUCUGUAGUCGAUACAAAGCCGAAGAGAUCCAUCCUUCUUUCUAACAAAAAGCACUAGAGCACCCCAAGGUGAGGUACUUGGGCGGAUGAAACCCUUGUCUACCAACUCUUGCAACUGCUCUUUCAGUUCCUUUAACUCUGCUGGUGCCAUCCUGUAGGGAGGGAUAGAGAUCGGUCUGGUACCAGGCAGCAACUCUAUUUCAAACUCUAUCUCCCUAUCAGAUGGCAGUCCUGGAAGCUCGUCUGGGAACACAUCUGGAAACUCUCUAACUAUUGACACUGAAGCUGGUUCCCUAACCUGUCUGUCUAGCUCUCUCACAUGAGCUAGAAACCCCUGACAACCCCUCCUAAGCAACCUACGAGCCUGAAGGGCUGAUAUCAAACCUCUAGGCGUUCCCCUCCUAUCUCUUCUGAAGACACACUCUGACCCAUCCAGAUCUCUGAGACUAACUACCUUGUCUCUACAGUCCAAAGUAGCACUGUAUGUAGAUAGCCAAUUCAUCCCUAGAAUGACAUCAAAAUCUGUCAAAUCUAGAACCACAAGGUCAGUUGGAAGGCAUCUACCCUCUAUAAACACUGGACUGAAAUGGCAGACUGACUCUGCCACUGAUGGGUCACACUUGGGUCCACUGACCCAGAGAGGACACUCUAACCCAGAGACUAUCAAACCCAAUCUCUCUACGGCUCUAGAAGCAAUGAAGGAAUGGGAAGCACCAGGGUCCAUCAAAGCAUACACAUCCGAACAACCAAUGAUGAGAUUACCUGACACCACUAUGUUCGACGUGUUAGCCUCCUCUUGUGUCACAGUGAAGAUCCGUGCUGGGGCUGUUGGACCUCCACUUCGGGAACCUGCUGCUGAAGAAGAGGCUGACCCUCUUCCUCUACCUCUGCCACUACUCUGAGGCAUAGCUGAAGUUACUGGCUGAGCCAUACUGCCAGAAGUCAUCUGCUGGGAUGGUGCCAUCGAGGUCGCUUUAGGACCUACGAGCCCCUCAUGGAAGAAGUGGAUAAGUAACUUAUCAUCAUCUGUAAUUGCUGACAUCUUUGCUAUGUAUGUUUCUAAAUGGAUCUGAGAGGUUGAUGUCCUGAUAUACUUUUCAAACUCAUAAACUUUGAACUUUCAAGGAGCAAUCGCAUUAAGGACCAAUCACAAAGAUGACACGUCAACUGACCCAUACAUAUUCAAACCUUCAAUGGCUCUUAAUCAAUCCUUAAUUGCUGAAAUUUUUUCCUCCUCUAUCUUACUUUUUUCCUUUGUCCACUAUUGGGGGUCCACAUAACGUCUUAUUGACCAUUGGAUACUGAGGGUUGGUCAAGUGAGGAGUUGAUAUAGUAGGAUGAAGGAGAAAUAUUGGAGUAAUGGUGGGUAUGAUGUAGUCUUAUAAAGUAGCCUAGUAAAAAGGAGGAAUGUCAAUUUAGGGCAUAAUCUAAGUAAAAAUAUAGCCUAAAAAAGGAAUCAAGAUGUUUAAAAUAGGCUAAAAGGUGAGUGGUAUAACAACAGAGGUACCAACUUGUUCAAUUAUAACUAAUCUUGGCACAUAAGCUUGCAUAGUAUACCGUGGAUGAGAUUAGGUUGAGAGAUUGCAUGCUGUAGACAUAUCUGACUGGAUAAGAGUAUCCUCUUGUUCUUAGGCCUCAUUCAUAGGGAGUUUUUCCCAUUUCUUUAAUCAUCUUCGAUAGCUCAACUACUCUUCCCUUUAAUUUUGAAUAUCUAUUAUAAAUGAUAUAAUAUUUAAAUAAUCAUCAUUUUUUACCACAAAUCAAGAGGCAUUACACUUAUCAUUAUGAAUUUUGCAAUGAUACGUAAGAGUUAGGGAGAAGAAGAAUUGUCCUAGUAAGGAACAAUCCUAAAUUUGACGACUUAGCUACCUAUGAGAUGAUUCUAUCCUUAAAGGGUGGAUAACUAGGGUCUUUAUUUAGGUAUAGAGUUUCGAUUAAAGUUCUAAUUUACUAAGAUUGCAAAAGUUCCAAAACUUCCCUACUCUAAACCAUAAAGUUUUUUCCCCACUAUGAUACUAAUGGAAACCAUGGUUGGCAAAUAUAUGAAAUAAGUUUUGAUCUGAAAGCAAGUUUAUCUUUCUUUGAUUUACUUGAAUCACUUCUUUAGAAUUCUUCCUUUUUGUUCCUUUGUUACUGUUAAUCUUAAUUUUUAUAUACUUUUUAAGCACAUUUUGCAUCCAUUUUGCUCAUGUAAAUUAUUAUUUUUACUUAUUUAUUUGAUAUUUUUAGUAAUUUUAAUUAGCUUUUAUAAAUUAGUAUUUUAUAUAUAUUUUGCCCUUAUUUUAUAGGAAAAAGGCAUUUCAAUUGGGUUCUUGAAAAACAUUAAUAUAGAAUGGUAGAAAGUUGCAUAAGCAGCAAUACGAUUAUAUCACAACUUAUGUCAGUCAAGCUGACAACUCAUUUUAUGUGCAGAAAAUUAGUAAUUUAGAGUAGUAACAAAUGACAGUAAAAAAACUUUUGUUAUGGCAAUCUUUUAGGGUAUAUAAAUAGUUUUUGUUUUUUUUUUUUACUUUGAAAAAUGGGAGAAGACCCUAGAAUAAAGAAAGGUGCAACCACUUACCUUUCUCUCCCCAUUUUCCACCAUUUUCACCUUCUUCUUCCUCAUUUCACGUGGAGAACAAAAGGGAGCAGCUACAACUUCACUGAUGGAGACUUUUUGGGCAUGGAUCUUUAUCAUUUGAAGAGUUCUUCAUUUGAGUUUUUCUUCUCCUUUAUUAAUUUUAUGUCUUGUUUGUUUUAUUUUGAGAUUUUCUUUGUAAAUAACAUGAUUAGUGAGUAGAUUUUUAGAUUUCAAAGAAUGGAUAUGUAAUACUCUAUUUUAAUCUUGGAUUUGAAGUAAUUUCUAUUAAUGGGUUUGAGCUAAUUUCUAAUUUUGAUUUUGGUAUUUGAUCUUGAUUUUUUUUUUCUUGUGCUUUAAUUUCUUGUUGUGUGUUUGGACAACCAAAGUAUUGGUUUAAUCAUUAAUUGAUGUGUUGAAAGAUGAAAAUUAAUGGUGGAAAACUGAGGAUUAGAGCUUAUAUUCUUGAAUUCAAGAAAUUGAUUAGAGGUAUGAGAGGGUUUCAAAAUUAAUUAAAGGACUUAAUGGGUUUUUAUUAAAUUAAGAGCUACGAAAGUAGAAAUUAAUUUAAUUAAGGCACAAUCUUGAUAUCUUGAAAGAGAAUUAAGAUUAUUUUAGAAUUAAUUUUUUCAAGCAAUAGAAUACCUAUGAAUUGAUAUAAAUUGAAGAAAAUCCGAAUUAAUUGGAGUAUGAAUCCCAAAGGGCUAAAAUCAUCUUUUUAUAUUUGUUUUUAAUCUUAGUUAAUUGUUAAUUUUAGUUAAUUUUAAAUUAAUUUACCAUUGCUUAAUUUAAUUGAUUUUAAUUGAUAGUUAUUUUCACAUACUAGUUUAUAGUUAGUUAGCUUAAUUGCUAUCUCUCAUUAAUUUGUGUUUAAUUUGCUCAAUUUUUUAACUUUUUUUGAAAUCUACUCAAUUUUUUAACUUAAUUAGUUAAUUUUAGCAUCAAAUUGAUUAGUCCAAGUAAUUGUUACAAUCACUUAAAUACUAAUUAUCUGUGAAAAUGAUUGCGGUAUCACAACAGUUACCUUUGUUAUUUUAUCAUAUUCGAGAGUAAAUUUAUUUUCAUGAAUACAUCAAUAUUUUUCUAUACCUAAAAGUUUUAUAAGAAAGUUUAGUGAUUAUGACAUCAACGUAGUUUUACUUUUAAAUCUUUAAGUUUUGAAACUAAAACUUGAAAUUCAUGGGGUUUUUAGUUUUCAAUAUUAUUAAAAAAAAAUUUAAAAUUUUAGAUUUCAGCUAAUAAUAUUUAUCAAAUAAGAUUUGACUGUCUAUAUGGCGGUCAAACUCCAUGUACCGUCUAUUACACAAGUAUCCGCUACUAUUUUUGAGAGUCUAUCCACGGCAGAAUUUUUUUAAAUAUUAUUAUUAUUAUUAUUAUUAUUAUUAUUAUUAUUAUUAUUAUUAUUAUUAUUAUUAAUUUUUAACAUUUAAAUUAAUAAAAUUAAAGUAUAUUAUUAUAAUAUAAUUAAAUAUUUUAUAAUAAAUAUAAUAAAAUAUAUUUUUAUUAUAAUAUAUAAUAAAUUAAAUAUAUUUUUUAUUAAAAUUAAAUGUAAUAUAAAAUAUAUUUAAUACUAUACUAUAAAUUAUAAAUUUAUUAUAUUUAAUUUUUUUAAAUAUUCUUAAAGCUAUAUUGUAAAAAACAAAAGAAUAUGUUUUUUGGUAGUGUAUAAUUUUAGUAUUAUAAAUAAAUUUCAGGUAAAAAAAAUAAUUUCUUACAACAAUUUAUUACAAACUGAUUCAUUUAAAUUUUAAUAUAAUAAAUUGCCAGUUUUUUAUACAGUUUAUAUAUAUAUAUAUAUAUAUAUAUAUAUAUAUUUAUAUAUAUAUUUUAAAUUAAGAAUUAAAAAUUAAAAGAAUAGAAUAUGAAACCUCUUAUAUUUAUUCAAAUACACUUAUUAUCCAAUUAAAUCUACUAAUGUCUUUAUAUAUUUUUUUAUAUAUGUAUAUUGUACGGUAAUCAGGGACGGAGGGAGGGUACGGCAAGGGGCAUGUGCCGUACCGGCGAUUGAAAAAUACUUUGGAGGGGAUGAAGGUGCUGCAGCGGCGCAGUCAGUAGUGUCACAGUAGUACGCAGCAGUGUCCUACUAAAAAGAAGUUCCUGACUCCGCCACUGACGGUAACAAUUUCAUAACAUAUUUUAUUAUAUAAUAAUAAAAAAAUAUCUUUUAUUUUUUAUGAUAAAGCUGAUGAUGAUGGAGAGAGUAUAUUUCAAAUAAUAAAGGAUAUAAUAAAAAAAUAUUUAAUUCAUCGUUUUCAUGUCUACUUUUGUCAGAAAAAAUUCUAUUUUAUUUAUUAUGAAUAUGCAUAAAUGCAGACUUCAUAAUAUUAUAAAAAGAAUUCAACCGGUUAUCAAUAAAUAUACCAUUGAUUUUAUUUAAUCAGUGUUACAAUAUUAAUAUAUAAAAAAUAAAAUAUUAUUUAUUAUAAAAAUUUAUAUUAUAAAUAUUAUCAAUUUAAUAUAAUAUAAUAAUUUCCUUUUAAAAAAAUAUAAUAUAAUAGGGGAAGCUAGCGCACGCAACAACUAGUUCAAUUGACUAUUAUGUUAUUAAGGCUUUUAUUUUAUUCUUUACUGGUACGUGACGUUGUCAUCCAAGUCUCCUCUACGGCAGAUGGUGCUAUUGCCGGAUUAAGGAAGUAUGGUUUUCCAGUCGAUAUACCAGAAAAGUGGGGUGUAAGAAUUAAAAGUUAUUAUUUAUAAGCAAUUGAUAAAGAUAAUUUAAAAUAACAUUAAAUAAAACUAAAGUUCUUUGAUACUCACGGCAAUCACAAUACUCGUUAUGAUUAACAAUAUGAUAAUUAUAUAGUUCCCUACCUUCACUAAUUAAUUCAUUUCUAAAGUUUAAUACUUCUUGUUGCUUAGUAAGAUCUAUUAAAACUAAUUUUCUAAUAGCAGAUAAUAUAUUAUCAGACAUAUAGACUUACCAUAUUAUCCUCGAUUUCAAACUCUUUUCCCCAACCGGAUGGAACUAUUUGUGAAAAUGGAGUGUCGGCAGACUCUGGUUUUGUGUACCAGACGUAAUAAUCGUACUUUCCAGACGGCUCUCCGAGUAGAUCUUUCUAACCGAUUAAUUCGUUGACGGAAAAGUUUCGGUUUCGGUAGAUUUUUGCAGUUUCUGAUCUAAGAGAAAGUUGAGAUAAACUUUUGCCAAGCGAUCGAGACUCAAAUUUUUGAAAAGUAUUUUUCAUUCGAUAACAAGAAGUUGAAGUUUUAAAGAGAAACAAAAGCUUAUAGAGAUUUUUCGGAUGCUCCCGAGAGAGCUUCUAACCUCUAUUUAUAUCAACUUGCUGACUAAGUUGAUAGAUUCGAUCUUAUCUAGAUAAUCUACAACAACCAAUAUUUACUAGACAUGUGGACUUAACGAGAUAAAGCAAAGAUUCCCUCAAGAUAAGAGAUAGUGCGGGUACGCUUUGGGCCCCAUCGUCCACUAUCAUCUUUAUCUAACAGCUGGAAUCAACUACAGUACAGCAAUUAUUUACAGGUAGUGUAGUUUAACGUCAUUGCGGACGUCAGAAGGCCUCUUUUAUGGCCAUGUGGUCUCAUCUGGUUCAUCCGGGUCCUGACUGUCUUGGUAAAGUGAGUCUGAUAGUAGGUCAUCCUCAUCUUCACUACUUUCUUUUGCUCUUUUAAAUUUUGUCUUUGAGCACUCUCCCUUUUCUGGAGUCUUGCUCUUUGCAGUAGUUGUAUCUGACAGUUCUUCCAGGGCCAAUGACAGUCUUUGUUUUAACUCUUCUUUAGAGAUGGAGUGAAAUAACUCUUUGAGCAUUUUAGUCAUUUUUUACUGGUCCGAUUCUUCUGUUUUUUAACCAGCUCUAUUAUUCUAUGGUGAUGGAAUACUGAUAAUGGUCCAAAGAAGUCAGUUUUAUCCCACCAUUUUGUCAUUAUUCUUCUGGUGAGCCAUUUUACAUCAUUAAUGGGAAAUUCAUUAAAUUUCUUUGGCUUUCUAGAGGUUAAGAUAUAAUCCCACUUGGCAAUCCAUAGUAUUUUAUACAGCAAAGUAAAUUCUAGUCUGGGAUUUGAUAAAGGCUCAUUAACCUUUGCAAACUGUUCAUAAACAGUUCUGACCUUAUCCGGCAAAAUUAUUGGGAAAAUUCCCCAAUUAAAGAACCAUUCAUGGAACCAUGGGGGAAAUUCUUUAAUCUCCCUUUCCAGUUGAAACUGAAUAAACCAGCUGAACUUUCUUUGCCGAUUUUCAUACAGUAAAGCUCCAGUCCAUGCUUGGAUAUAGUCAAAAUAAUUAUACCAUCUGAGUGUUCCAUAUGUCAUCUCCCUUUGUUUAAACCCUCCACUGUUCGCUGGUAAUAAUAUUUUUAAUGACAAAUUUACUAUAGGCCCAUUGAUGGCCUGUUCUUUCAAUGGGUGCUAUCUCUACUGAACCCAUCUCAGUAAGUAUGGCCUGAUAAUAAUCAAAGGCCUUAGGAUGGUAUGGGACAAUGGAGUGGUGUUCAGUAUAAUAGGCGGCAAUUUCAUAUGGGUUCAGGCUUUUAUAUUUCUUUUCUAUAGGACUCAGUACAUAAUAACUGAUAGGUACAUAUGGGUAAUUUACCUCUUUGUCGUUCACAGGCUUGAUGCUUAUUUUAUAAGCAUCUUCUCGUACAUGGUCCGAUUCUUUAACCGGAGUUGAAGAUGAUGCUUCUUCAUAUUGUCUUUUGGAUGGAGUCUUUGUACUCAUUUCCUGUAAGAAAUUCUCUUGUUAGAAAAUCAGGCAAUGAAUUAGAUUCUCCUUUUAUGAACUCAAUAUCAUAAUAAAAAACAGACAAAAUAGUCUGCCAUCUAGCAAAUAUUUGUUUUGAUGUUAUGUUUUUAACAUCUUUAAGGAGUAUUUCCUUUGCGCUUUUACAAUCAAUCCGUAUUAGGAAUUUCUGAUUUAAUAAAUCAGAUUCAAAUUUUUGAACACAUAAAACAAUUGACAAAAUUUCUUUUUUAACCGUAGAGUAAUUUACUCUAGGUCCUACCCAUAUACCACUAGUGAAUCUUACUAGGGUUUCCUUAUCAUUAAGUUUUUGUUUUAGUAUACCUCCAUAUCCUUUUUCUGAGGCAUCUGUUUCGACUAUUUUAAAGGACUCAGGGUGUGGUAUAGCAAGACACGGAAGGGUUUUUACCCUUUCUUUAAUUCUUUUUACUGCUAGAGUGCAUUCUUUAGUCCACUCAGGAGGAUUCUUUCUUAGACGCUGAAACAAAGGCUUUGCUUCUUGUGCUAGAUUUUUGUAAAAAUCAGCUACAUAAUUCAAGCUUCCUAAGAAUCUUUGUAACUGAGUUUUAUCUUUAAUCUCAUCAGGAAAUUUACUAGCAAAUUCUAUGGCUCGGUUUAUGGGUAUAAUGGUUCCUUUAGAGAUGUUGUGACCCAAAAAUCUAACUUCGGUUUGGAAGAUCUUUAUCUUCUUGGCCGAAACAACUAGACCGUUUAUUUUAACGAUCUUUUCAAACAUUCUUAAAUGCUUGAAAUGCUGAUCUAUUGUCUUGGAGAAGAUUAAGACAUCAUCAAUAUAAACAAUAGAAAACGCUGAAUAAACGUUAAAAAUUUCAUUCAUAAUCUUCUGGAAUUCAGAAGGAGCAUUCUUUAAUCCAAAUGGCAUGACAUUCCACUCAUAAUGCCCAAAGGGCACAGUGAAAGCUGUUUUAUAUUUAUCUUCUUCAGCUAUCUGGAUUUGCCAGUAUCCAGACUUCAUAUCAAAUUUUGAGAAAAUAGUGGCUUCAUAAAGCCUCUUCAAGAGAUCUCUUUUAUUGGGCAGUGGAUACCUUAUCCAUCUUAGCGCCUUGUUUAAGGGCUUAUAAUUGAUAACCAGUCUUGGGACACCUCUCUCAAGUUCAGCAGCAUUUUCUACAUAGAAUGCUGGACAGCUCCAUGGGCUACUACUUUUUCUAAUUAACCCUUUAGCUUCUAGCUCAGCUAUUUCUUUCUUACAAAUUUCUAGGUGUCUUGGCCCCAUGGCUAUGGGCCUGGCCUUUGUGGGAAUAGCCUUUUCUGAAAACUCAAGCUCAUAUGGCAAAUUUACCACAUGCCUUUUCCUGGUCCAGAAUGCAUCUGGACUUUCAGCACAAAUGCUGCUUAUCAAUUCUUCUUGGAUUACUUUAAUCCUCUGUUGAAUUUUAGGUUCUUUUAACCUAUCAUCUAUACAUUUAUAGAUAACUUCCUGUUUCAAGGAAUUUAUGAAUUUAGUUUUAUUUUCUACUAUGUUUUUUAACACAUCUAUUUCUUUCAGUUUAGGCUGAGAGCUAAAGUAAAAGGUAAUGACCUUACCGUUUAUCUCGGUACUAAUUCCUUCUUUGGUUAUUUGGAUGGGGUAUAGCAUAUAAAGAAAGGAUUUCCUAAGAUAACAGGAUGAGAUAAUCCUUUUACCAUAAGAAAAGGGAUUUCGAAACAGGUACCUUGAUUGCAGAUAACGGUAUUGUUUAGUUUGUAUUUUACCGACAUUUUGCUCCCGUCUGCUGUAUGCAACUCUUCAAGCGUUUUUUAGAAGUAUUUUGAAGGCACUAGUCCUUCAUUAAUGCAAUUGAGAUCAGCUCCCGAGUCGAUUAGUGCAUUUGUUUCGAACACAUAGUUCUUAUGUACUACUAUGGUAACCUUUGUAUGCCACUUAUGGGUAAUUACCCUAUCAGCCAUGUUGAUGUAAUGAAGGUUGUUGAGGUCUUUACCUCCUUGAUCUUCUUCUGGUUCUUCCAUAGCUAACUGUUGAUGUUCGUUUAACAGCUCUAGGAUGUUUAUCCUUUCUUUUAUUUCUUUAAUCUCAGUUUUUACUGAGUUAAGUUCUGAGCGUAACUCUGCCAUUGUUGGCUCUUUUUGCCUCUUUGAGUUUUUAACUCUUUCUAAUAUCUCUUUAAGGUCAUAAAUAGGUUGUCUGCUUUCUAUCUUCUUGUCUAUUAGGCCUUGUGCUGUGGUGUUCGUUUCUUUGUCUUUGUAGAGGCCAAUAUAAGUUUCUAACUUCUCUCUUUUCUUUUCUGGAUCCUCAAUAUUGUCUAUCAGAUCAAGGAUAAGAUUAUCCUCUUUUGUUAGUACCAGAAGGCCAUUCAUUGCACAUAGCGAUUUAUAAUAAUUGCAGUUUCCUUCACAUUCUUCCUCUUGAUUCUCCUCUUCCUCCGUACUACUUUCUUCCUCUUCUGUGGUAUAAUCCUUUGCGUAAAGUGCCAUAACUUCUUGUUCAGAAUCUGUUUCGUUUAGCAAGAUAUUUGCUAAAGCCUCUUUGAUAUCUUCUUCAAUGGUGAGUGCCUGUAUUUGCUGCUUGACUCUACACUUAUUAGCAUAGUGUCCCACCUUUCCACAUUUGUAGCAGACUAUAGUUUUCUCUGCUUUGCCUUGACUAGGCUUCUUUCUUUCCUUUGGCUUCCGACUACUGUCAGGUUUUGGAAACCUUCUAUGCUUCUCCUUGUAUGGACGUUUGUUUGUGAAGAAACGCUUGCGUCGAUGAUGCCGAACUUUGUCGUCCUCUCUCCUACCCCCCCUUAAAUUUCAUGGACGGAAAUUUAAUAGGUGGUAAUCCAUACUGCUCACAGAAGUUACCAAGGAUUUGUUUGCCAUAGAACCUUUCUUUCUGCAUUUGCUUAUGAAUUUUUAAUUCAUUGCAAAGAUGAAUUCCUGUAGUAACCACUUCAGAGGCGAGUUCUCCAUACGUGUAGUCAUGAUACGGUAUAUUAUCGUUAUGCUUACUUCGUAUUUGAUCUCGUACUCGUUCAGCAAAGAGUGCGGGGAGUCCUGCCAAGAACUUUUCUUUCCAGACAUGAUGCUGGCUAUCUUCUCUAGUAAAAACCAACGAGAAAAAGGUAUCUUUAUACCAUUUGAAAUGAGAAAGGUCUGGGCAGCGCAGAUUUAUUAACUGCUCUUGUGCUCUGUCAGUAAACAUGCUGACUGAUCCGAUGAAGUGCAACCCUAUAGUAUAUAAUAGGGUGUUAACCACAUCUGGAACUUGUUGAGCUCCUUCUUGUUUAACCAUGUUGAAUAUCUGGAUUUUUCCUUCAUUGGAUACUGAAAAAUCCCACCAACCUUUUAGUUGGCCACUGAACCCUGCUAUUAGGGCUCUUGCAGUAGCGGGGUCAUCAUUACCCUUUGCUCUACAUGCUGUAGCAUGCAUGGUCAUGUACUGGAGGACAUUUUUGAUUUGAUAGUCGGACAACCCAUCAAUGUUCCAUUCAAUAAUGGAAGAUCCAUCUACUUACACCGGAUUGUAGUUCAUAUCUUCAUACUGCAAGUUGAUUGGUGAUGGUCUAGGAUAGUAAGGCUUCAGAUCCAUUGUCGCCUGAGGUUUAGGAUACUUUAUCCUAUUUACUUCUGCUGGCUCAGAUUCUCGCAACAUUGUUUCGAGUUGAAUUAACUCCUUUUCUUCGUUUGGCAAUUCUACUACUUCUUCUUCUUCUUCUGACUCCAUUGUUAACGGAGCAAUUGCCUUCAUUUUGGCGUCCUCUUUUAUUCCCAGUUUGGCUAGCCUCUUAGAUAGUUCUUCUAGCAUUUCUUCAUUCUUGCUUAAUUUGAGGCCAAUGUUCUUACUAUCCAUAGGCUUCAAUAGCACCUUUUCUUCGACUUUGGUCCUUGAGGUUUCUGCAACUUCUUUUCGUGGAAGAAUGUCCAUUGCUUUUGGUUGGGCAGCUAUUUUCGAGACUUGAUUUUCAACUCUAGUUAAUUGCUGUCCAAUUGUGUGAAGGCUCAGGUUUGUAUAGUUUUGCUGUCUAGCUGCUGGGUUGCUAGUUUGAUCAUGAGAAAAGGGAAUGCAUUCAACUUUUGUAUUUUCAGUUGGUUGAUAUGUCACAUCGGUCAAAGGUGGAUGCAUUUCUUUGAGAAUUUUCUUUUGGGGAGUUAUGAAGGUUUUAUAAUGAGUUUCAAGGGUGGCUAGAAAGAAAGGGUCGUCGAAGUUAGGGUAUGGUUUUUUGAGUAUAGAGAAGCAAUGUUGAAUAAAGGCAGGAAAGUCUUUACUUCCUUGUUUCUGCACUUUGUAUAGCUCAUACUUCUUGUGCCACAUCCUUUGUUCUUUGCUGGGAACCUCCAUGCCGAACCAUUUGUCAAACGGUGUGUCUUCGACUUCGAGCAUCAUAAUUUUGAAUGAUUUGGAGAGUAUGCUUUCAGCAUCAUAGCCCAUGCCUGACGGAGUUGGACUUUGGGGUCUUGGAGCUGGGCUUUGAGACCCUGCAUAUAUUGGAUUUACUAUUUGCUCUUCAGAUCUUUGUACUCCAAUAACAGAAUUACUCCGCUGAAUAGGCGUCGAUGUGGAAGACCUCAGAGGUAAUGGUUCCGAUAAUAAAGAAACUCCUGAAUAGGAUCUCCUUUCUGCAAUACUUCUGCUUCUCCCGAAAGAAAUUGCUACUGAUCCUUCGUUUGUUUGGACAAUUGAUUGAACAGUAGUUGACUCUUCUUUCUUUGGUGGUACAGCUUCUUCAAGAAUCCAAUUGUCAGGCAAAUUAACCUGAUCUCAUUGGAUUGGUUUUGGAACUAUCAAGUUUCCUUUUGACAUAUUAGUCACAAACAAAGUAGUAGUUUCUUUUGGAGAGAUCAACUUUGUUGCACUGUCCCUCAAAUUAGGGACUACUGUGUUCAUUACUUUGUAAUGGAUUCUGUAGAUCAAGAUUAGAUAUUCUGAUCCUGGAGCCAUGUCAUAUCCCAUUGUUUUUAUAUCAAGAACCAGGAUUCUCAUAAUAUGUGGAUCUGUGAGAGACAACGUAAGAUUUGGAAAGCAUUGAAAAAAAAUUGGUCCAUCACAAAGAGAGGAUUCUACCACUCCUAAUAAGGAGUCAUUGAAUUUAUUGUGCCGUUUGUCUCUGACACAAAGCAUCGCGGCUGUAUUAAGCCCUAACCUGGUUGCCGGUUUUACCGCAACUUGAAUCAUUCCUAUAUGUAGGAAUAUUUACUGGUACGUGACGUUGUCACCCAAGUCUUCUCUACGGCUAAUAUAAUAAUAAUAAUUAUAAUAAUAAAUAUUAUUUAUUAUAUAAUUAAAAAAUAAAACAUCUUGUGGCGCCUACCACAAAUAUGACUGUGCAAUUCAUCGGUUUGAUUUUAAAUUAAAUUAAAUAAAAAAAUUUUAAAAUUAAAUUUUAAAAAUAUUAUUAAAUUAAAUUAAUUAUUAAAAUAUAAUUAAAUUAAAUUAAAAAUCAAUAAAAAUUGAAUAAUUAAAUUCGAUUAAUCAAUUAUUUAAUACAUUUAAAUUAAAUAAAAAAUUUACUAAUUUAAAAAUAUUAACUGAAUUAAAUCAAAUAUUUCAAUUAAUCAUAAAUCAAAAUCGAUCAGUUUGAUUUCUCAUUUUAAAUUAAAUUAUACUCUCCCUAAUUACAAAGGGACCAUAGUUAAUUACAAAGGGACCAUAGUUAUAAAGGAACCAUAUCGAGUCAUUUUUAGUAAAUAGUACUGAGUGAAACAUAAAAUUUUAAAUAUUUUACAUUUUAACAGUAAAAACCUAAAAAUCUCAAAAUUCAUAUAUUUUCAGAAUUUAAGAUUUUCAACCAUAACAAAAUAAAAAAAAAUAUAAACUAUCGGAAUUAGUCAACAUUUUAAUUUUUUAUAUUAUACUUGGUCUCCAAAACCGUCCAAAUCUUUUUUGAGAUAUCGUGAUAGCACAUAAAUCACAUAAACGAUAUGUCAUAGAAUUGAGAAGAUGGGCCUCUGCUUAGAAAUUCAUCUUCCUCAUACUUUUUCCUUGCUUGUUUGACUUCUUCAGUAUCAUUAGGUUUUGGUGGGGGAAUAUUAUUAAAGAAGGAUUCAGGACAUAAGCAAUCUUCAAAGCAGUGAGUAUAAAUAACAUUUUACCUCCCCAACAAGUAAAAUUGGUGCUAUCAACUUCACUUUAAAAUUGCUGGUACUAAAACAAUAGAUAAAAUAAAAAGCAUCUGUUGGUUUUGAGGCAUGAAGAACUCUAUCUUUAAAGUGAUCUUUCCCCUCUCAUAUUGCUGCAGACUUAUGGCAAAUCUUUCCAGGAUACAACGAAACCAACCAAAACCUGCAAGCAGCACCUCCUGAAGAUUUUCUUUAGAAUAUUUCUUGACUAAUCUUGCAGAAAAAAAAAAAAAGGAAUACAAACUGUUUACAGCAGUUUAUAUAUGUUGGUUUGAUGAACCAACACAAAUAGUCACAACCAAUUUGGCUCUUAAAAACUAACAAUAAACAACUGAAAUAAAUUUUAUAAUUAUCCUUUAGAUUUGAAUAGAACAUAAUUUAAUCAACUUGUAUUUCAAUCUAUUCUAGCAUAUUUGAAUCAUCACAGCUAGUGCAAGAUACAAAGCAAGUCUCUUAAUUUCUGGUGCAAAACAUUUCAUGAUUAAGUAGAAUAUAUAAUCAAUGUGCAAAUCUAAAUUUAUAUGAUACCAUAGAAAAAAAUGAAAACUCAGUUGUUCAACCUCAAACCAGGUGAACCUGUAGAAGUGAUAAAUGAUCAAGAUAUUUUAAAUGCAAAAUUAACGGCUAGUUGUAUAUCUUUGAACAAAGUGAACAAAAAUGAAAUCUAGUAUAGAAAAGAAUAGAAGAGCGGAAAAUCUUCUGAUGUAUUUCAAGUUCCAACAAUCGAAUUUAAAAACUCAAAUAAAUGCAAAAUGCGCCAAAAAAAUAAUACAAGAAAUUCAAAAUUGAAAGUAUAAUAUAAGUAAAACAGAUUCAGGCAUGACAAAGUGGACAGUUUAGUCUUGUCAAUGCUGAAAAACUCAGCAUGCAGCAUGGACACAUUUUAUUCAUUCUUAUUCAUGAAAGAAAGACAAGUUGAUCCCCAAGAGAUCAAAUGGUACCAAAUCACAUGGAACGCCAGCCUUCUUAUCCAAGCUCACCCAUAUGAAAAUCGGCCUAUCCCCAUAUCUUCAGCUUUCUGAGAAAGUAAUUUGACAGUGAAAGAAUGAGCAAUCUUGUGAUCUUUUAGGUACAAAAAUAAUGUAUAAAAUAUGUAUUAAUUUUUGUCAAUAAAUGUUUACCAUUUCCAUAAAUAAUGCUUGAAUGGUGUUAUUAAGGCUGCUUUCCCAUUCCCAUUCCCAUUCAUAUAUAUGUGGACCUGUUUGAACUCUCCAUAGAUGCGGCGUGCUUACUUCAUGAGCAAAAAUCUUCAUAUUAGGGCAUUCUACAAUGAUCACUUCUUCCAUAGAUGGGAAACUGAAGUUCAAAUUUCCAGAGCAGAAGCUAGAGAGGCUUGGUAGAUGUUGAAGUUCCAAACAUUUUAGUUGGCUGAAGCAAAUCUCAUUCUCUUCUUCUUCUUUAUCUACUUUAACCACUAUGACUUCUUGUAUCAGUUCACAUUCCUCUAUCUUCAUUUUUUCAAGUCGCUCAAGACUUCUCGCUGUUGAAGAAGACAACAAAUUUACUAGACCUUGGCAAUUUGAUACCUGCAGCUCUGUUAAAUUUUGAAAAGAAACAGAGGAUGCCACUAAUACUUGCAAUUUACCACAUUCCAUUACAUUUGAAGUGUCCAGAGAUUGGAAAACUGAGAUUAGUUGGGCGUCCCUGAGAUGCUUGAGCCUUGGCAGUUUAGACAAACUUAGUUCUUUCAAUUUCACAAGUGAUUGGAGAUGUAUUUCCUCGCCAAUAAUAUCUUCACAAAAAAUAAUAUCUUCGAAAGAAGCAUCACUCAGAACAAGCUCCUCCAGAAUGGGUAAACUUUGAAAGAAAUGAGAUGGCAAAAGUGUAGAGUCACUAGAAAUACAUGUCAACUCAAUGCCUUUCAAUCCACACAAGAAAUCAGCUUGAGAUGUUUGAGAAUCACAGAUUCUUUAUGGUGUUACAUUCCACUCUUAAUUCUUCUAAACUUGGAAUGACAACCUAAUAAACCAAAUAAACAGUGAUUAUAAAUAGGGAUAUAUGAGAUCAAAACAUUAAGAACAUAUGGUUCAUCUUAGAAAUGGAAUGUAAAUGAAAACAAACAUCUUAAAGAUCCCAGUAAAUUGAAAUUCUCCAUUUUUUAGGCUAAGAGUUCGAAAAAUCAAGAAAUUAAACUUUUUAAAUUUUUUAAAUUGAGCUUAAGUUCAAACUUCUGAAUUAAUUUGGAUAAAGCAACUAAAUUGAAAAUCUCCAAUUAGUACAAUGAUGAAAUUGAACAAGAAAUUAAACUUAUUAUAUAGAAAACUGACCUUCCCACCAAUUGAAAUAUUGGAGUCCUCCUCGUGAAUUCUUUCUUCAUUUCCCUCAGCAAUCAUGCUUAGAUCUUGCUCUUGGCAAAAUUUAGAAGCCAGUAAUUCCAUGUUUGGACAGCCAACUAUCUCAAUUCCUUUCAAGGAUGGUAAUUUCAGAACAUCACUUGCAGAAUAAAAACUUGAUAAGCAAGGCAAACACUCUAGAAUUAUGGAUUGCAUUGAUGGAAAUAUGGUAUUAUCCUUCCCUAUUUCCUCUUCUGCUUCUUUUAUGAUGACAUGGUCCACCAAAUUACAUCUUUUUACUUCCAAAUGUUGGAGAUUUACAAGACCCGAAGCCAUGGACAGAGUAAAUAUAUUAGUCAAGCUGCUACAAUUCUCAACUUGCAACAACGUUAGGUUUUCAAAGCUCAUAAUUCCUUGAGGAUCCUUGUUCCACACAUGGACCAAUGUAGGCAAAUCGAUUAACCUCAAUUCUUCUAGAGACUUUAAUAACCCAACAUCACCUUCAUCAGCAUUUAGCCCUUCUAAUUCAAACAGCUCUUCUACUGAAUCACUGUAGGCAAAUCGAUUAACCUCAAUUCUUCUAGAGACUUUAAUAACCCAACAUCACCUUCAUCAGCAUUUAGCCCUUCUAAUUCAAACAGCUCUUCUACUGAAUCACAUCUUUCUACGGCCAGCUUUUUUAACAAGUGCAAGUGCUUUAGUACAUUCGAUGAUAUGGCAUUUGAGAAAUAUGCACACUCGUCCACCACCAAUCUUUCCAAGUACUCGAAUGGAAAUUGGCCAUGCCAUUUUUCUUUCAGCAUGGAAAAGUUGGAGAGUUGAACAUCAUCUAUCCAUUCAAAUCCAAUCUACAAAUAAAAAAUAUUGCAUUAUUGGGGAACAAUAAAUAUUGCAUCAUCUAACCAAACAUAUUAGCACAACUGAGUUUAAUAAAGAGAGAAGCAAGAGUUGGUAAGUACUUACAUAUUUCAUGUAAAGUUGUUCAAUGGUCGCAUUGAGAUUGCCUUCCCAUUGAAAUGUUAGAUUGAAUUUGUGGCCUGUGAAUACACCAUGUAUCUUUGAUGCGCUCAGCUUGUUGACAGUGAAAAUUCUCAACUUGGGACAUUUAAGGACAAUCACUUGUUCUAAAGAUGGGAAAUUGAAAGUGUAACUGCCCAAGCAGAAGCAUGUGAGGUUCUGUAAAUCUUCAAGUUCUAAUGUUUUCAUUUUACUGAAAACAAUCUCAUCGGUUGAUCCAUCCUCUUGAACACCUCCUAUUAUUUCGGUCAACAUAUUGCAAGAUCUUACAAUCAAUGUCUCAAGUUGUACCAUACUUUUGGCCGCGGCUGAUGUAAAAAUAUUUGCCAAUGUGUUGCAUCCAUAUACUUUUAGAGUUUUUAGAUAUUGCAAAGACACGGAGGAUGGUGCUAAAACAAUCAAAUCUCCACAAGACUUUAUCUUAAGAGUCUCAAGAGACUGAAGUAAUGGUUCAUGCAGUUGGCCAUCUGGAUUCCAUAUAUGCUUCAAAUCAGGAAGAUUUUUAAGCUUUAAAUCUCUUAUUUGUGGAACUGUAGUGAUAUCUUCUUAAUCACCACCCAGUCCUUCAAAUGGAAGUAACUCAUUGAGAGAAGAAUCAAGAACUUCAAAUCUUUCGAGAUUAGAGAAUAUUGGAAGUAAACUAAACAGAGGAACAUGAUAUUUGUUUAGAAAGAAACUCAAUUCAAGAACUUUUACUUUGGAAAAGAAGCCUGUUGGAAAUUGAAAUCCAAGUAUGGUUAUGGUAGACUUCUUGUCUAAGGACAAUUUUCUCAAAUUUGGAAACAUCUGCACAUCAGCAAAUAAAAAAAUUUCUAAUUAGUAAAAGAUUGUUAAUGAUAAAUCCCCUAGAUGCUUAUAAAAAUUCAUAAUAUAUUUAAUUAAUUAAUAUAUUAAUAAGAAAACAAUUUCUAUGUUAUAAUAAACAUGUAUUAGUAUAAAUGGUAGCCUUAUUUUUGUAUAAAGCCUUAUUUUUGUAUAAAAUUUUUGAAAUGUAUUUAUAAGCUUAUAUGUUAGUAAAUUUCAAUGAUCCAAUGAGUAUAAAUUUAAAAGUUUAUUGAAACAAUGAAAAAUAUAAAUAUUUUAUAUUAUCAUUAAAUAAUUUCAGCACUUUUUUAUAAUUAUUUAUUUAUUAACAUGGUUUGACGUGCAAAAUUUAUGUUCUUUUUAUUAAUUAUAAAAUUAUAAUCAUCUUAUUAAUUAAAAUUUUUAAGUGGAAAAAAGUACAAGAAAUCGACAUUUUAAAUUUACGAAAUAUUAAUUUAUAUAUAGAUGCAAAUGAAUUUGAAUUUUAGAUUUUAUAAGUUAUAGAUAAUCAAUUAUAAAUAAUUGUUGAUACAUUUUAAUAGUGAAAAUAGAAAAUUGAUUUUUUUUUUUAUUUUAACAACCUAAUUAAUUAAGAAUUUUUAAGGAGAAUAGUAAAAUAUAUUAAGUUUUUAAAUUUCUCUAAUAUAAAGUUAGUUUUGAGUAAAUUAAAUUCUUAACAUAUAAUUUUUUUUUUCUAUAUCUUUUAAUGAAAAGUUUUGUAUGAUUUUUUUUGAAAAACACUUAUUUUAAAAAAAAAAAAUGAGAAAAAAAAGUUAACAUUAUAAAUACUUUUUAAAUGUAAAAAUUAUUUAAAUAAAAUAAGCUGACGUAUAAAUUAGUGUUUUUAUACUUCUCAAAUGCAAUAUUUGAGAAAAGAAUAAAUAGAAAACUAACCUUAUAAAGAAAAGGUGUAUGAAGGUGUAUGAAGCUCAUCAACUGUGUUCACUAGUGUUUGUGUGGCAAAGAUAUUCUUUAAGCUUGUACAUUCAUGUAUGCUCAUCUACUCCAAUAAUGGACAUUCCACAUUACUCCAUCCUGAACACAAUCUGGAAAAUUCAGAUGCCUUAAAAUAUUGGUAAAAUGUCUGAUCCCACAAAAAAAAAAGGGAAAAACAAUGAACUGACUACUUAUCAUAAACAUAUAACAUAUAAGCAUACAACAGAUAUCAUGAAAAUUAAGAAGAAAGCAUAAGAAUAAAUAUGCAAAUACCAUUUCUGCUAGUGUUGCAUUAAGGUUUCCCCCCCAACGCUGUUGAUCUCCCAGGAGUAUUCCUCGUAGCUUUGGUGUAUUUAGAUCUCCGAAAGCGAAAAUCUUCAUCCGGGAGCAUCCCUUGACGGUAACAUUUUCUAAAGCUGGAAAAUUGAAGGCAUUAUUGCCGGAGCAAAAGCUGAUGAGACCAGGCAGACCAUCAAGUUCCAAACAUUUCAGUUUGUUGAAAUUAAUAAUCUCAUCCUCUGUAUGAU
rnacentral:lncRNA from 1 species